GGAAGAAGCCAUGUUUCUUUGAUGCCUCAGAGACGAGUCUAGUAGCCUCCGAGACCAAGACCGAGUCGCCGGAGAGGAAACCAGCGAGGUCUAUUAGAGGGACUUGGAGAGGUUGAACAUCAUCGGUAGGUUUCUCGUGGUCAGGCCAUACGAACUGUUGAGGUAUGUGGUUUGACUGCUGAUUCAGGAGAUUUGCAUCGAAGUUAGAAGGAUCCUCUUCGGUUUUGUUUUCAUUGAAUCUCUGAGGGCGAGUUGCGAUGCACUCCAUUGCCAUUUAUGUAUAUGUAUAGAUAUACUAGUGGAAAUGAAAGAUCCUUUACAGGUUUCUUUUAAGAUAUAUAUAAAUUACUAACGUUAAGAGGCUUAUUUUUUUAGUGGUUGUCUAAGUGGAGAAGCAAAGAGUGAUAUUUAUAGGUGUGUGAGAGAAGGUUAGAACAUCUCCAACUCUAAUCUAUUUUCUUUUCUAAAAUAGAGUUUAUAGUAAAAAUAUUUUAAUAGCACUCAAUUUUUUAUUCUAUAAUAGUGUAAAUCUAUUUUUUAUUCUAUAUAUAUAUAGUAAUUGUUUUAUUUUUUAUUUAUCACUCUAUUUUUUACUCUAAAAUAGAGUAUUGGAGUAACAUCCAAUUUGAGAUGGUCUUAGGCGUAGGGAAUACUAAUCAGUGUUUGUGUGUAUUCGUUUUUUAAAAUACUUUGUCUUUAUUAGUGUGUCUAAUCAAAACCUUUGUUUUUAUUCCUUUUAUUAUAUACAUUUUCGUUCUAUUUCAUACAACUUGUCUCUUUCUCUUUAUCUUUCAAUCAUCUAACUUUAGUUACUUAAAUGAUCAUAUAAUAGUACAGUAAAGAAGUUUUUUAAAAAUUAGGGUUGAACCAGUAACCAGUAGGACACAGUAUUAAUGUAUCUCAUUGUGAAAAAUAGUCAAACUUCUAAAACGUUGGCGGUAAAAGUACGAUUUAUUAUUGAGUCGAGGGACUCAAACCUGCUGGCUACAAUAAUACAAGAGCCGUCCGUUAGAACGUUCAUCAAAGAACCGACCGUUUCAUCAUUUGUGAGGCCCAUCACAACGUUAAUAACAAUGCCAGAUGAUAUUAGCUGAAUGGUGAGAAUUAGAAAAGUAAUUUUAAAGAUAAGUUGAAUUUUUUUCUUAGUUACUAAAAGCUCUUAUGAUAUCCGGCAGAUUCUUAGAACAUUUCCAAUUGGAGGUUCUAUUCAUUAGAAUUCUAAAAAUGCAUAUGUAUAUAUGUAUAUAAUAUAUAUAUAUAAUAUAUAUAUAUAUGUAGUUGUGGAAUCCAUUGCUUUUGUAAAGAACCUCAUCCAAAGUAAUGAACCCUACAACUAUAUAUAUAAUAUACUUAUACACAUAUACAUUUUUAGAACUAUACAUAUUUAGAACUCUAAUGGAUAAAACAUCUAUUAGACUCUUAGUGUUUAAGAUUCAAACCUUUUUGUGGCUUAUUUGUCGUCCCCUGUAUUUCAGUCUAAAAUUCUGUUUUUUUUUUCCUGUUGAACUAGUGAACUCCAGACGUAAGAAACAAAAAAGAACCGAAUGUUUUAUAAUGUCAAAGCUGAGAAAAAUAACAUGCUUAUUGGCUUAUGUAUAAAAAAUGUUUUUGGUGUAAAAAGUAAGUAAAAGAAUGUUAACACGUUCUAGUUAACAUUGCUGUUUAGGACGAAAUGCUGUAAGCAAGCAUAAAUUUGGCUGACACUGACAAAAAAAUAAAUAUCCAACACAUUUUAAGUUAAUUUGAACAUACUAAAAAACAUUUUAAGAAAUAUAUGGCAAGGCCACACGAUAUUUAUUUGGCGCAUGGUAUAUAAAUGUUUAUUAAUGAAUGUAGUAAGCUUUUCUUAAAAUUAUGUAAAGUUUAGUUAUUGAAGUAAAAAAAAUUUGGUCACAUUUUAAGAUUUGAAGUCAAUUAUUUCAACUGAUAUGUUCAGUAAAAAGGGUUUUGUCAACAGAUUUCUGGUUUCUUUUUUUCUUUUUGAAAAAAAGGAUUUCUGGUUUCUUAUAAAGAUUAUUGAAUGUGUUGUGUAAAAACAUCAGUGUUAAACCAGUAUAAAAUCAAGUAUACAAUGGUCGAACUACACACAAAAAUAUAAUGAUAUGUACUAUUUGAUAAACAAAUACAAAACCCGACAGCUGUAAUAAUACACAAAAUUCAAAUAAUAUAUCCAUUUUUUUAUUAUGUAACAAACAAAAAAAACCAUUCUUGUUGGUCUUAUAACUUACGAUUUUUUAUACAUAUUGAUGAUGAAAAAAAUACACCGACCAUUAUGAUUGUAUUAGUAAGAUAUUAUGACAAAAAUAAACAAGUGAUAAAUUUAAAAGAUAACUGAAAGGGUUAGGGUUGUCUUACUGUGGAGAGUGUGGCAGUACAACAUUUUCAGUGAUGUCUGUGAGUGACACACAUCUUCAAGGCGCAUGGAGAUGCAUAUGUUUUCUCUCGCGUUUACUGGUUUUGGUAGUAUUUGGAGAAAGAGCUAUGAAUUCAUUUAAAUUCUCUUCUACAUAAUAUUUAAUUUGGGAUGUAUAGAAACGGACACUACCAAUUUAACGUAACCAUCUUCUUUAGACUACACGUUUCCAUCCUCGAGCACAUCGAUUUGGUCUUUUGUGAUAGGUCUUGUUCUUUGUGUGCCAAUUGUCAAAUACCUAACACUGAUAUCUUUUGUUUACCGUCUAACUGCAGAAUAAAAGCUUCUCUGUCUAACUGAUAUUAUCUCAUUUGAGGAAGUUUAACAAAAAUCCAAGGUCAAGGGAAUACAUAAAGUUUUUAAGAUAAAACUUGUUUAAACGUAGAAGAUUCCAGUAAUACAAACUUGCUGAUCAGGAAAUAGUGAAUAGAGUAUUAGGAUAACUAUGUUAUUAUGUUAAGGAUAACUCUUGUGUUAGAGAUAAGUCCUAUACGAGAUAAGGAUGACCAAUGUAUAUCAUCUCCUAUAAUCUCUCCUUGUAAACUCUAUAUAUAGAGUACGUAUUGUGAUCAAUAAUAUUCAAGCAAUUGCAAUACAUCUUUUAUGGUAUCAGAGCACCUUUCGAUCCAUUAAAUUUUUUUUACAUCAACAGAUGUCUUCAGAAUCGUCAAACUCAGGCUUUAUGCCCUCAACAGCAACACGCACGGCAGUCUAUGAUCCAGCCAACCCGGCAACCAAUCUACUUGCCGUCAACAUGUCAAACAUCACACGUUUGACCAAUGUCAAUUACCUCAUGUGGAGCAGACAAAUUCAAGCUCUACUUGAAGGACAUGAACUACACAGCUUCCUUGAGAAAACAAACUCAACACCAGAGGCAGUCAUCAACAACAAUGGGCUUGUGGAACCAAACCCGGCCUACGCACCAUGGCGUCGUCAAGACAGACUCUUGUACAGUGCCAUUAUUGGAGCCAUAUCUCUUCCAGUCCAGCCCUUGGUCGCGAGUGCUACCACAACUCAUGAGGUUUGGAGCACACUCAACCUCAUCUUUGGAACACCAACUCGAGGACACAUCAAACAACUCAAGUAUCAAAUCAAGAGUUGUACCAAAGGAACCAAAACGAUCAGUGAAUAUAUGCGCACCAUCAAAACCAAAUCUGAUGAACUUGCGCUUCUUGGCAAACCUCUUGAUGCUGAAGAUCUGAUCGAACAAAUCCUAGCUGGACUUCCAGAAGAGUACAAAUCAGAGAUCGAUGCUGUCAAUGGCAGAGAUAGCCUGAUCUCAUUCUCUGAACUCACAGAGAAAUUACUCAACCGAGAAGCGGUGAUUGUGUGUGAUCAACCAAAUACACCAUCCUUUCCGGUCACAGCCAAUGCAGUCUCAAAAAGCAACAACAACAACAACAACAACCGUGGUCCCUGGAAACCCUCAUUCACACCUCGCAACAACAACUACACCAACAAUAACAACUUCAACUCCAACAAUGGUGGUCGUGGACCUCGCCCAUACCUCGGUCGCUGUCAAGCUUGUGGUAUCCAAGGUCACAGUGCUCAACACUGUCCUUCCUUCAAAAUUGUUGCUACUGAUACAGUGUCACACGCCAACAACAACUCUCAUUGGCGACCAAUGGCACACACUGCUUUUGUCAACGCACAACACCCUGAUGCUUGGCUGAUGGACAGCGGAGCUUCUCAUCAUGUUACAUCAGACAUGAACAACUUGGCGUCUCAUGUGCAGUACUCCGGACCUGACGGAGUUGUGGUUGGUAAUGGUGCAACUCUACCAAUCACGCAUACCGGUUCACUCUCUCUCAAAUCACCCUCCAGAGACUUUAGUCUUAACAAUGUUCUUUAUGCACCAUCUAUGCAAAAGAACCUUAUUUCAGUGAAUCGCUUUUGCAAAACUAACAAAACUUCGGUGGAAUUCUUUCCACAUAUGUUUCAGGUGAAGGACCUGCAAACGGGGACACCGGUACUAACCGCACCAGCUAAUGGAAAUGUGUAUGAAUGGCCUCCUGGACAGCCUCGCACACCUCUUGCUUUAACCACUACAACCUCUUCUUCUUCUUUAGACUGGCACCAUCGCCUUGGUCAUCCGGCUUUUCCUGUUUUACAAAAGAUUUCUUCGAGUUUUUCCCCUGGUUUUUCUUGUCGUAAUCUCAAUUCUUCUCACUGCAAUGCGUGUUCAAUCAAUAAAAGUCAUAAGUUACCCUUUCAUGACACAUCUAUAUCUUCUUCACGACCUUUACAAGUCAUUUUUUCUGAUGUGUGGUCGUCCCCUAUACAUUCAUUUGAUGGUUUUAAAUAUUAUUUACUCUUGGUCGAUCAUUUCACUCGAUAUAUGUGGUUCUUUCCUCUCAAGCUUAAGUCGCAGGUUGCAGCCACAUUCAUAAAGUAUAAGCAGCUGGUCGAAACACAAUUCAACACCAAAAUAGCAACACUAUACACGGACAAUGGUGGAGAGUUCAUAGCACUCAGGUCUUUUCUUGCGGACAACGGCAUCUCCCAUCUAACAACACCGCCGCAUACUCCUGAACACAACGGCUUGUCCGAACGACGUCAUCGCCACAUUGUCGAGACUGGACUGGCCUUGCUCACUCACGCCUCGAUCCCCACUCAUUACUGGACGUACGCACUUGCUGCUGCUGUCUAUCUCAUCAAUCGCAUGCCAACAAAAGUACUGUCCAUGGAUUCACCAUAUCUACGUCUCUUUGGAGCUUCACCAAACUACUCAAAGCUACGUGUUUUCGGCUGCUUAUGCUACCCGUGGCUGCGACCCUACACGACAAACAAGCUUCAGCCACGAUCGACUCCCUGUGUCUUCUUGGGUUACUCCCUUACUCAAAGUGCUUAUCUUUGUUUUGAUCCUACAACCUCACGUAUGUUUAUUUCUCGACAUGUUCUUUUUGUCGAGAACAAGUUUCCUUUUACUUCUCUCACAGCUUCAACCCCCCCGCUUGAGGACAACCAAGAGGCUGCGUGGAUGCCGGUGGUUACACCAACUCCUCAUCACCAAGCACUAGUACCGGAGUCUCCCACUGCAGAUCAUUCACCGGCUGCAACACCAACAACUACAACUUCUGGUGAACCCACAUCAGCCACAACUACACCACCAACCUCAACAUCAUCUGAAGAUCAACCACCAACAACAGAGUCCUCUGGUGGCAUCACAGAACAUGACAAUGCAACGGCACUCACACAACAACCACAACACCAAAUGGUGACUCGAUCUCAGAAUCAAAUAGUCAAGCCAAACCCAAAAUAUUGCUUAAGCGCAACACUGGCUCCUUACAUUGAACCGAACACAAUCCAACAAGCACUAGCUGAUGAAAGAUGGCGCAAAUCAGCAUGUGCAGAGUUCAAUGCAGCAAUAGCCAACCACACAUGGGACUUGGUUCCUGCAGAAGAAGCUACAAACAUCAUUGGCAACAAAUGGCUCUUCAGGAUCAAAUUUAACGCCGAUGGUACAGUUGACAAACUCAAGACACGUCUAGUUGGGAAAGGAUUUCAUCAACGUCCAGGCAUAGACUAUCAUGAGACCUUCAGCCCAGUCAUCAAAUCCCCCACCAUCCGACUCCUCCUUGGACAAGCUGCUAAAUAUAACUGGCCAAUCAAGCAGCUUGACAUCAACAAUGCCUUCCUUCAAGGCACGCUAACAGAGGACGUCUACAUGGUUCAACCAAGUGGCUUCAUUGACAGAGAUCGACCUAACCAUGUGUGCAAGCUCAAUAAGGCGCUAUAUGGUCUGAAGCAAGCGCCUCGAGCCUGGUACACAGAGUUGAAGAACUACCUGCUAAACCUUGGGUUCAAGAACUCCAUUGCAGAUGCCUCAUUGUUCUUCUACAUUGCCAAAGACACCUACCUAUUUGUCUUGAUCUACGUUGAUGACAUCAUCAUCACUGGCAACUCAGAUGAAAAGAUCCGUGGACUAAUCAACACUCUGUCCGCACGAUUCUCCCUUAAGGACCUCAGUGACUUGUCCUACUUCCUUGGCAUUGAGGUUCUUCGAACACAACACGGCAUUCAUCUUUCUCAGCGAAAGUACAUUGGAGAUCUUCUCUACCGUAACAACAUGACUAACGUCAAACCUGUUCCUACACCCAUGAGUGCAUCAACGAAUCUAUCCAUACGAGAUGGACAUACACUGGACAACCCAGCUGAGUAUCGAACAUUAGUUGGGAGCCUUCAGUAUCUGCUUCUUACAAGACCGGAUAUUGCCUUUGCAGUCAAUAAACUCUCCCAGUUUAUGCACAAACCAACAACUACACACUGGACCGCUGCGAAACGAGUAUUACGCUAUCUGGCUGGCACAUACACAUCGGGCAUCUUCCUCUCUCGCUUCAGCAAUCUAUCACUUCACGCAUACUCUGAUGCUGACUGGGCAGGCAACAAAGAUGACUACACUUCUACUGGAGCUUAUGUUGUCUUCCUUGGUCAGCAUCCCAUCUCGUGGUCUGCUAAGAAGCAAACAGGCGUUGCCAGAUCUUCCACAGAAGCUGAAUAUCGAGCUGUCUCUGCAGCUGCAUCUGAAGUUCGUUGGCUCUUCUCAUUACUACGUGAAGUUGGCGUCAAGGUAGACUCAGUUCCUACCAUUUACUGUGACAAUGUUGGGGCCACAUACCUGAGUGCAAACCCGGUGUUCCACUCAAGAAUGAAACAUUUAGCUCUCGACUAUCACUUCAUCAGGGAACAAGUUCAGAAAGGAACGCUACGGGUUACUCAUGUAUCGUCUAGGGAUCAACUCGCUGAUGGCUUAACCAAACCAUUACCAAGGACUCGGUUUGGAACGCUUUUUACCAAGAUUGGUAUCACUAACCGUGCACCAUCUUGAGGGGGGAUAUUAGGAUAACUAUGUUAUUAUGUUAAGGAUAACUCUUGUGUUAGAGAUAAGUCCUAUACGAGAUAAGGAUGACCAAUGUAUAUCAUCUCCUAUAAUCUCUCCUUGUAAAUUCUAUAUAUAGAGUACGUAUUGUGAUCAAUAAUAUUCAAGCAAUUACAAUACAUCUUUUAUAGAGAAAGUGUAAACCCUAAUUAAUAAAAAAAUUAUUUCGAAUAAACCAUUAUUCAUUCACUCAUAUGUGGUAUAGUGUGAAUAAGUUGAAACCUAAACUACGCCUUGAUGAUUUUUUUCUCUACAGAAAAAUAAGGUAUAUAAUUUAUAUAUUCUUUGAAAUGAACGGUUUUACCACUAUGAGUUUAUCACUAUGAAUUUUAAAUUAAAUUCUAACUCCUAAAUAUAUAUCAUCCUAAGUCAGUUUAAUUAAUUAGAAGCUGACAAGUGAUGCGAAUAACAUGCUAAAUUAAGCUCGAUUUUAUAUUCAAAACACAUUAAACAGAAUGUUUGUUCCAUACAUAAUAUUUAGACUAUGAUUAUCGUUAGUCUGCGAAAAUAUGCAGUAGCUGAUUAACAUCAAAUAUUCGUAAACACUUUUCAACUACUUUUGGAUGAAUGGUAGAAGUAUUUACGUAGCACACUUUUCAAUUAAAAUUAUCUGUAAAAUAUUUAUACCAAAAACUAACAAUGACGCACGAAGUGAUGCAAAUUCAUUUGCGUGAUUCGAGAAUAAUUGACGUCAGAAAAUAAAAGUGACACCAAUUCAUCUGCUGUUGAUUUGUAGUGCGUCAAUCGUUGAACAAAAUAACUUAUACGAUAAAAAAACACCAACAGUUUUAACAUGAUUUAGUCCAUAACAUGCACACUCGCGGAUCCAGAAAUAUUUUUAAUCGGGACAGUAUAUAUUUAUAAAUUAAUUAUUUUUAAUCAAUAUAAUAAUAUACAAUAAAAAUAACUAACAAAAUUAAGUUUAAAUUUGGUACCAGUAUAUUAUACAAAAAAAACUAAUGUUAAACUAUUUUGGAUUUUAAAAUUUUGAUUUUAAUAUUUCUUUUUUUUUAAUAAUGUAGGUGUCUUAUUGUCUUAUUUUUUUUAAAUAACAUGCACCAUAUUUUAAACCUCUUUCCACCCAAAAAAAUAAAAAUUUUGAACUUUUUUUUUCUUGCAGGUGCAACAUAGAAAACCAUUUUUUUCUCAAAAAGAAAACAUAGAAAACCAUUUUAUCCCGCACAUGAAUUGUCAGCCCGUAUCCAGAGCCACAAGCCACGGGCCUACGAGGCUUUGGCGACCUACCAGGUUUAAUUUGCAAGAAAUCGAACGCAACUCUACCAAAAGUUUAAUUUAAUAAUUAAAUAGAAAUAAAACUAAAAAGGCGCGCACACACACAUAUAUGUUGAGUACAUAUCCAAUCUUAGUGAAUCUUUUGAAUACAUGUUGAGACACCGAAAAGGUGGACCAUAUCCAAUCUUCUCACUGUAGCCUUCAUUUUUGAAAGGACGGGCAAGCCAAUUUGCCUACAUUUUACCUAACAAAAUUAUGACAAACGAUUUUUAUUAAUAACUUUUGGAGGAAAUACAAUUGGAUAAUGUGUGUGUAAGUCACUUUGGGUAUCUAAAAAUGACGAAUUGUCUUAUCUUCGUCCUUUAAUUAGCACUACAACUAGUAAAUCUUGUAGAAGUCCUUUUUGAUCCACUUGGUCACUUUGUUUGUACAAAAGUGUCGAGACUAUACUUGAUCUAAUAUCUUGUUCUUUGUUGAUGCUUACCAGUGACCUAUACAAUAUGUGAUGUUGGAUUCGCCAUACGGGAAGCACCAUUUUUGAACGAAAGUGAUUUUAGAGAAAAAAAUUAAGUCAUCCGUAUCAAGUCUUUUAUCAUGAACUUUACCAAAAAAUAUUAAUAUUUAAUUAGAUUUUUUUUUUUAAGUUUGAGAAAUUCAUGUCAAAGUCUCUAAUUGAGAUUUUUAAUUAAAAUAUUAUUACCACACUAUACUCGAUAGAUUUCUAAUGCAGAUGCUCUUAUAAGAGGCCACAAACUGUCUUUUUGUUGACUUCUUACCCAUCAAUGAUUUCUGAAAUUAGUGUGGUUACUGGUUAGUGACAUCGAUGGACAUUUUCCUUAUGCGUACAGUAUUGUAAUAUGCAUAUCAUACAUGGUAAUUUGAACUACUGAUCCAUCACUGUAUAAUCAAACUAUAUAUAUGUUUAGUUGCAUUACCUACUACCAUUAACGGUGACUACAGUGAUAUUACAUAUACGUUGACAUGUAUUACAAAAAUAACAUUGUCCAUAUUUCCAUAACCGUACCGAUUAAAGAACCUUUUUCCCAUUUACUUAUAUUGAUUUAUUUAUUAUUACCGAAGUAAACAAUCAGUAUGCUGUGGUUAAUUUGUAUUUUGUAUUUCGUAUUAUGACGAUGUUCAGAGACCAAAUAGAUAGUUUUCAACAAAAAAGUUUAAAGAUAUCAUAUAGAUAUGGCCUCCGUGUUACAAGUUCGGAUAUAGCAUUUUCACAAUAGUGCUGAGAUAUUCAUAGGCUACAUAUCCCACUAAUUUAGGGCUUUGUUUAUUUAUUUAGUGUAUUACUAUUGUUUAGGCCCAAGUUAAGAGUAGUUCCGCCCUUAUCUUCAAUGGAUUUCUAAUGGUCAGCAGUCAGCAUUACGAAAACAAAUAAAUCGAUACCAAUCAAUAUAUAGUUAAUAUGAUUUAUAUUUUAAUUUUUAAUACAUUUAUAUACUAUUAAUUAUUUGAUUUGUUUAAAGUCAACUUUUCUUGCUGACAAAAAAAAAGAAGUCAACUUUUCUUAUAUCCGUACAUCCGUACCGCGGUGCUAUCCGUAACUGCUAAUAAUAGUCGAAACGUAAAAGAUUUGAUAUCCUUAAAUGCGUGACAGUAGAUGAAAGAAACUUAAGUAAAGAUCAUUUGUCCGCUUGCGGUACUAAACGCAAAAUCCAUUUGAUGUACACACGAGUGCCAAAUAUUAUUUUAAUUGGAUUUCUUUCCUUUUCAAAGAAUAUUAGAUUAAGCUAAUGAUAUAGUAAAACAAGGUAUGAUGGUGGAAGCCAUUAGAAAAUCUACAGUGGAAAUUUAAUCUAAAUAUUAAUUAAUUAAUUAAUAUUUAAUGUUUAAAUAAAUUUUGAAUCAUUUAUAGGCAUACAUGUAUCAAAAUAAUUUCUUAUGAAUAUCUCAAAGUAUUUUACUUGGGAAACUCUUCUGAUUUUCUUUUAUUUUCUAUUUUCCUUAUUUUUAUUGAAAAAUACCUAUAACUAUCCACUACUUUAAUGUCAUAAAAUCUUAAUUAUCCUUUGCUUGUUGCUGAAUCUGCAAAAAAAGGCGGAGGGUUAAAAAUCUGCAUUUUUCUAUUCUACCAACCCACAGUUUUGUUAGAAUGAGAAUUAUAUCAAUGAAACUUCAAAUAAGAAACAAGUGCGUAUAAGCUUGUCUGAUCUAUGAAAAUUUAAAAUAAUGACUUACUUUUAUCUAUUUGUAAGUUAUAUUUUAAGGGUUUUAAUUUAAAUAAAAAACAUAGUGUAGUUUUUCUGAAAACUAUGGAUUAAAACCACUAUCUCACAAAUAAGAAGAAGCAUACGUGUUCUUUGGUAAAAAUCAAUUCGUGGAGAAGCAUACGUGUUGGUAAAUAAAAUGGGAGUAAUCAUACUUCCUUUAGUUCCUUCAGUACUAAAACUGUAAGAACAAAACAACUGGAGAAUUCAUACCCUAGUCCACACUCCACACGCGCUCCGAUCUUAGGAUGAAGCUCCUCAUCCUAAACUAUUCACACUACGAAUAUCCGCUAUGAGAUGAUCAAUAUCUUACUCAUGUCAAUAUGUCAUCAUGUGACCUUUUACCACUUCCCCCAAAUGCUUGAAACUUUACCAUUUCAUACAUGUUCAAAAGAAAGACCAUCUCUUGAUCACAGAGAUGAAAACAUAAUAAGAAAAUUGAAACUUUACCAAUAUCUUAGUAAAAAAAGAUUGUUCAUUAUCCUUCUAGAGCACAAAUCUAGACUAUCCUGCUUUAUCCGAUUAUUUCAUACGUUACAAAACAUUCUGGACCAAUGAGAAACCUCAGAAACUUAUAAACAUAUGUACCUUUCAUCCCGAACAAUCAAAAUUGAUUUAAAAACAAAACUAAUCCUAUAAUGUUUAGGAUAAUUAAUUUUCCCUUAAUCGCUUUCGCCUUCUUGCUCUCAAAUGUCGCAUUAACCAAAAAAUGUUCAACAUUCACUGUUAGAGCUGAUAUUUUCCUGAACGGUAGUUGAUUAACGCUGAUUGUUAUUAGUAUUAACCAUAUUAAUUCAUUACUUAAGUUUUUUCCUGAUUAUCAAACCAAUGUCAACAUACUUUAGUUUUGCCAUAACUGGAAACCCAUUAACUUUUUACAUGCUCAUUUCUCUUUCUAAUUUCAAACCACUUUUUGUUUUCCUUAAUUGAUUAACUACAAAGUACUGGAGCCUAUUGGAAUACAUUAACAGUCAUUGUCUUGCAUGCAACUAACCUUUUCACUUUCUGUUGCAUAUGUGUUAUAUUCGAUUCUUCAUUAAUUGUAAGUGUUUCCUUAACGGACACUUUUUCACGUACGUCUAUACAAAACGGACGAUAGUUUUGACAAUUAGAUGUUAAGAAAAACUGACAAGAUUUCAAAAAAAAAACUGACAAGAUUUUGACUUUUGAUUAAAGGCGAAAAGAAGCAGACAUCCCUAACAAAUAUUAAAUAAUUAUUACUAAUGUAAUAUUCUAAACGAAACUUUCAUUUUAAUAGAACAGAGCAGUAAGUAUUUUAUACAAGUAAGCAAAAAUAUAAACUAAUAAAUAAACUGUAUAUAAUUUUGAGAUAAAUGGUUAAAAGGUGAUAACAUUAUAAAAAAUAAAAUAAAAUUUAUCAUAAUUUUAAAUAUUAUAAACAAAAUAUAUGAUAAGGCCCAUUAUUUUUCAAUUUAUUGGUCAAAAUUGAUUAUCUAUUUUCUAUUAUUUUAAUCAGUAUGAUUAUUUAAUAACGAUAAAUAUAAUUUCAAACUAAAUUAUAAAAUAUACAAAAUUUCUCUAAUAAUUUAUCAAAUACAUUAUAGUAGUUUUAAAUUUGAUUUUUAAAUAUGUUAAGAUAUAAGCGAUGAUAGCUAUAGAUGAUACGAUCACUAUUGUUUUAUUUAUAUUUAGUAUAGUUUUACUUAAUAUUAUAAUGACAAAAUUAUUGUUAAAAUCGUUAUAUAAUAUAUCAAAACUGUUCACAAAUUCUAAAUUGACUUUGAAUAUCAAAAUAACGAUCUUGUAUGAUUUAUUAUUUUUAGAGAUCAAGACAUUUAAAGUUAAAUAUAAUAUUUAUAACACAUCAACGGAUUUGACACACGUAAUUCUCAUGUUAUAUGAUAAUUUUUUUUUCUUUGAGCAAGUUAUAUGAUAAAUUAUAGUAGCUGAAUUUGGUAUAUAUAUAUAUAUUAUAUAUAUAUUUCAGUUUAAUAUUUUUAAUGCGUUAAUCAAUUGAUUUCUUCAUUUGGUAAAUACAAUUUUGUUUUAUAAAUCAGAACUGUGAUGACAAUCAGGCAAUUGAUUUGUAAAUAUGAAAUUAUAAGAGCACCCACAAUGAUGAGAUACUCAUUAUCAUGAAUAUCCCUAAUGAGUACAAUAUUAAGAGAAUUAGUUUCAUUCUAAUAAAAAUUAAAUUUUAGACAAAAACUAAGACUAAUCAAUUAUGAAAAUGGUAAGCAAGUUCUAACAAAAUUUUGUAGAGUCUCUAGCUAAAGAAUCAGUCUCUCUUUCUCUCUCUUCUUAUUAUUUUUUCAAUAUUUUAAUAUCUCAGUGGAAAAAUCUUAUAGCAGAUGCCCUAAGACUUUUGGUAUGGUACGAGUCAACCUGAGAGUAUCACCACGACUGCUUCUUCCACCAGAUAUCAUGAAGCGCUUUAGAGUCAUGGUUUCAAAAUUCCUCAUUUGUAUUUCGUAAUUCUAAUUUUUCAUGUUUCACUCAACAAAAGAAAAUAGUUUAUCGCUUUCAUAGUUUAAGAUAAUGUAGUUUGGACAGAGAAUUUAAUUUAAAUUACAUCACAUCUAUACUAUAGAUUAACUUUAAUGUCAUAAUAUUUUUUUUUCAUUUGCAUUGAAAAUAAAAUAUUAUAGUAUUUUUCAUUUAUAGUACAAAUCCAAACAAAGAUGUAAAAAAUCUAUUAGAAAAUCAAGACUAAAUAAGAAGAAAAACAAUCACAUAUAUUUAAUAGAACAAAAAAGUAUAUAUUGGUAAAUAGCAUUAAUUUUUGCUUCUUUAGUCUAGAUUUUAUACAUAAAUUAGCACACGGUAUUUCCGCACAAUGUUAAUUUGUUUUAUCUAUAUUUUCUUAAUUUUUCUUAUGUAAUCAUUAUAAUUGUUUAAAAAUAUAUAAGUUCCUUUGUCUUAUUUAUUAUUAUAUUUUUUUUUCUGCAAUAAACUUACAUAUGAACCAUACAAGACUGCCAAGUGUUGUAUUUGCGUGACUACUUUGUGCCUUUAAAUAUUGAGCUUUCUGCAGCCUAAGUUUAUACAGACUUGAGAAACACAAAAAAUAGAUAUACAAAGACUAGCAAAAUGGCUUUUGCCCAAUCUUUCGACAACCAAAGCUCUGAUUUAAGAAUCAAUGUUAUGGUCGUGGACGAUGAUCCUGUUUUCCUAGGAGUUGUGUCACGCAUGCUCGAAAAAUUCAAAUAUAGAGGUAAUUAAGAUCUUAUUCUCAAAUACAACAUGUAUAGAUAAUUUUGUUAAGAUUUGAACAGGAUAAACCUAUUAGCUAACUUCAAAUAUCUUCCUGAUUUCGUUGAGAUUUAGAAAAAAAAACUUCAAAUAUCGUAAUUUUUAGCCCUUUGAAAAGUUAUAUUUUAGUGGAAUUCAACAAUUGUAUUUCUAAAUCAUCAGGAUCUGAACUCCAAUUAUAUGCACACGUCUAAAAUUUCAAUUGAGUUAUUCUUAAUUACUUUGAUGAUUUUUUAAACCAAUAGUUUGGUUAAUACAAAAGUUUCAACCAAUUUAAUAUGUACGGUUUUAAAAAAUAUCAAUAAUUGAUUUAUAAGAUAGUAACUUUUUGUCUGAAUGAAAAAAUGACAUGAUCGUGUGUACGUACGAUAUGUUUUUUGUUCGAAGUUUAAAAUUAAUUUACGUUCUUCAAAUCGCCCUUUCUUAUAAUGUAAUCAACCUGUUAGUCUUUUAAAAUGUAUAUCCAUGACAAUUUAAAUGUUGUUAUUUUAAAGAAUAUGUUUAGUUGAUGCUAUGAACAUUCUAAAAUUUUGUGAAAUGUUUCAUAUAAAGUGAAAAAUAUAUAUGUAUAUACAUGUAUAUAUAUAUCUGUGUGUUUAUAUAAUUAGACCUCCAUUUUGCUCAGUUUCUUCGUUUUUAAAAGGUUAAGACAUGCAAGUAAAAGUAUAUAGUCUCUCGUACUUGCAAUAUUUUCACAUUUACAUUCGAAAUUCAUUUUUGGUUAAAUGGUUUUAGAUCCGUCGUUUAAGGAGAUCUCGGUUAUAGCUGUAAAAGACCCGAUCGAAGCAUUGUCUACUCUUAAAACCCAAAGACACAAUAUCGAUCUUAUAGUCACAGAUUAUUACAUGCCUCACAUGAACGGUCUACAACUCAAAAAGCAAAUCACUCGAGAAUUUGGCAAUAUACCGGUUAUAGGUAAGUUUUUUUUACUACUUACAUAAAAUUACAAUACAAUAAGGGUGUAACUGGUAAACAAGUAUGAAAUUUGUGGAAUUUAAAAUAAAUGAAAUGAUAGGAAUGAAAUACAGCAAAAAAUGGAAUGAAAUUCAUUCCAUUCAUUUAUGAUCAAAUUUGUUAUGAAAUGAUUCUCUUUAUAUUUUCUCUAUCUAUUUUUGGAAUUGAUGGAAUGAGUAUUCCAUUCCAUUCAUGUCAAAUGGUAAAAGAAUUUACGGAAUUAAUGGAAUAUACCAUUCCACAUCAUUCCAUUCUAAAAAUCUACAAUCCAGUUGCAGCCUAAUUGUUUCUGCUAUAACUAAGCUAUAACUAUUUUUUCUUUACAUUUUCUUAAACAUGAAAGUUAUGUCAUCGGACAGCAACAUAGAACAUGAGAGUUUGGCUUGUGGAGCGAAGUGUUUUCUUCCAAAACCCAUCAGACCAACUGACAUACCCCAGAUCUACCAGGUUGCUUUAACUUAUAAGAGGAAUGAUAAGUCCAUAUUAUGGACCGAGCACAACUACAGGGACACAGAUGUUAGCAUCCCUCAGCAAAUCCAGUUACAUACUGAACAAGCUAAUGUCUUGAAGACCAAUAAUAAGAGGUUCUCGCCUAUAUCGGAUUCAAGACCCGUGAACAGUUCAAAUGGAAGUUAUGUUAGUACAGACGGUUCAGGAGAAAACCGAAAAAGAAAAUCAAACGGUGGUUCUGGUGAUGAUUCGCGGCCCUUGAAGAAGCCUAAGAUAAAGUGGACCGACUGUCUUCAUGACCUUUUCCUACAAGCUAUCCGAUAUAUCGGUCUUGACAGUAAGUGUUUUAAUUAUUUGUAGAUAUAUAAUACAUGAUAUGGAGUACAUCAUUUCUUACAUUUUCAAGUUUAUGUAGAUAUAUACACUGACUAAUAUGUUUAUAUUUGUUUACUUAACUUGAAUCUUCCAAAGAGGCUGUGCCAAAGAAAAUCUUAGAGUACAUGAACCUACCGUACUUGACAAGAGAGAACAUAGCCAGCCAUUUACAGGUUUGAUCAUAUCCCUUUUCAAAAAUGUUUUCGGAUAAUAUGUUCUAAACGGGAAUUUUCUUUUAAAUUAAAAAACAACAAUAUAUGUCAGUCGAAUGAAAAGACUUUAUGUCUCAAUUUGAGAUAGUUAGAACUUUUUGUCCGAUUCACUUAACUUGUGAUUAUUUAUUUUACCAUUUUAUGUUAAAUAAUAAAUACUGUAAAUUGUGCGUAUCAUUUCUCUUUUUAAUUAACUCAAAAUUGUUUGCUACGCAGAAAUAUCGAAUAUUCUUAAGGAAAGUUGCUGAACAAGGUUUUUCAUGUUCGAGAAUGUUGCCGACUAAAGGCAUAGACUCGAUAUUUCUGCAGGCUCACCUCAGAGAUCCGUGCUACAACAACUACGCAUCAUCAUCUUCUUCUUUGUACGACACAACUAUUAACAAUAGAUCAUUCUAUUCCAAACCCAUACAAAGUUAUGGACAGUCUAGACUCUUGUCCAACACAGCUGAGCCCGUCCGCUUCAACCAGAUGCCUUACAACUACAUGAACCGGUCAUCCACCUAUGAGCCGCGAGGUAUUGGAUCAAACUUAACCAUUCCCACCAUAAGCAACCUCAGUUUCCCAAUCCAACCAUCUCAAAACGAAGGAAGAAGAAGCCUUUUCGAACCAACCGUGAUGGCGAACAAAACUGUCCAAACAUCUCAAGCUAUGGGGUUUGGACAACAUGGACUCUCGGCUAUUAAUGGCAAUAGUUUCAACAAUAACAUGGUGAGCAGCUAUGGAAGAUUGACUCCUACUCAACCAGGAAUGAUGAGCUAUGAAAAUUUAACUCCUAGUCAACCAGGAGUGAGAAGCUAUGUAAAUUCAACUUUUGAUCAGCCAGGAAUGAACAACCAAAGAAGUUUGACUCCUGACCAACAGGGAAUGCGCAGCUACAGAAGUUUAACUUCUAAUCAACUAGGAGUGAACAUGAAUGGAAGUUUUUCUCAAACUCCUAAUCAACCAGGAAUGAGUAGCUAUGGAAUUUCAACUUCUAAUCAACCAAGAAUGAACAACCAUGGAAGUUUGACUCUUGACCAACAGGUAAUGAGUAGCAACGGAAGUUUAACUUCUAAUCAACUGGGAAUGAGCAGCCAUGGAAGUUUAUAUCCAAAUCAACCAGGUCUGAACAGUUAUGGAAGUGUAACUUAUAAUGCAAGAGUAAACAUCCAUGAAAGUUUAACACCUAAUCAACCAGGAGCUAGCAACUUCUCGUAUGGGAUGCAAAUGUUCUUAAACAACGAGAACACUACAUAUAAGCCUCAGGCACAUGACAAUGCAACUACACAGCCAAAUCUUGAAAUUCCUACACUGGAGAAUCUCAGCUUGUGUGAUGAGCUUCUGUGCGAGAUAAGUAACUUCCAGAUCGACCACAACAAGGUAUAUAUCAUCAUCACUACCCUAAUAUUUCAAGAAUGUACAUAUACAUGCAUUAUAUAUAUGUUGUGAGACUUUUUUUUUGUCAAUGUAACGAGCAGCAACAAGAAGAAGCAGUUUCUACCAACAAAUUUGAGCUCCCUGCAAAUUUUGAGACUGAACUGAAUCAGUUUUUUUCUCUUGAGGAAAAUGGUGACGGGAACUUUGUGAACAUAAAUCAGGUAUAUACAUAUUAUUUUAGAAAUUACAAGAUUGAAUAUGAAUCAACGUCCUAUCAAAGAUUAUAUAUGGUCAAAGAAUGUCUUGCUGACUUAUAUAUUUGACUUUGUUCUGAAGGGACGUUCUGAUGGAGAAACAUCAAACAUUGUUGCUGCCCCGGAGACGAAUUAUCCAGUUUUCAACAUGAACCCUAAUCAUGAGCAGGUACUCUAAUAUGUAUCAUUCUAAAUAUAUUUCCAUAAAUCUAUGAUGCUAUAUAUAUCAAAUCAUUUUUUUCAUUUAAAUAUACUCUGAAACUUCGAAUCUAUUUGCUAGGAACAAGGUGUUCCAGGAUUUGUCGAUUGGUCGUCACUGGAUCCGAAGGUACGUAAGGUUAAAUUAUUUGUCUAUAAUUUGAAGUUUUUAAGUCAUGAAAUAUUUUUGAUUAAACUUUUUCUUAUACUAUAGGAUUUUGCUAAUGAGUACGAUUUCGUGGACUCGCUGUUAACCAAUGACAUGAAUUAGCAAAGGUUUCGAUCCAAGAUGUUCUCAAAGCGAGGUGGAGAAAUAAAACCAGCAAUGCAUAGUAGGUUCUAAGCAAAUAUAUGUAAAAGAAUGAGAAUAUUAUAGAGUAUGGCUUUCGUUAUCUAUUAUUAUAUUUUUAAGUGGUGGAUAUUUUGAUAUGUCUGAGAACUUUCAAUUCAUAUAGUAAUUAUAUUGUUAGAGAUCUUAUGUGUUUAUCUUAUAAAAUAUAUAUAUAUAUAACUAUUUUAAGUUGAAUAUUCCCUUCCGCUCUCGAAGUCAAUUUAUUUCCUAUCUUUCAGUUCCAAAUUCCAAUAGAUAUAUAACACUUUAUAAUCAACAUAUGAUAUAUUCAUGAUCAUAAAAUUAGGUUCUGAAUGAAUUAUUGGUUUCUAUUGUAGCUUUAAGUUCUUAAAAAUAAACAUUGUAUCUUAAUUAAGUUUUUUAAUUUCUAAAAAGACAAAAGCAUGUUUUUACUAAACUAUUUCAGUGGAAAUCUAAGACUUUCAUAGUCUACGAUCUUUCCAAAAAAAAUUAUUUAAAAUUAAUUUUCCCACAAAUUACCAAUAUAUUUUGGUAAAAUCAGUUGAUGAUAUUUUGACUAUAUAGGCUUUAAAAUCUUCGAGAAAAGCAAUAUAUCUUAUGCCCAUUAAAAAACUUUAACAAUUCUUUAGAAGUAUCAUAAAGAAAUAUAAUUACUAAUUUAAAUAUUUUAUAAGAUUUUAUACUAAAGAGAUAUAAUUACUAAUUUAAAUAUUUUAUAAGAUUUUAUACUAAAGAGAUAUAAUUACUAAUUUAAAUAUUUUAUAAGAUUUUAUACUAAAGAAACACAUUUAAAUUUGGUUUUAAAUUUUGUAUUAAUUAUUUUUAAAAUGGUGACGUAGCCCUAGGAGAUUUUUUAAUCGUUUUUAGGCAUGCCUCAGGUCUAGAUGCCUACUGACGUAUUCCCCCAUUAAGAAAAAAAAAAGAUUUGUCAUUACAAUUAUUUUAGAAUCAUUCCUCUAACUAUUCUUCGUUUGUUCUUGGACCGGCGAAUUGCAAAUUUUCUUAGGUCUUUAUUCUUUUCUACAUAUAAGAAUUUAAUAUUGCAAAGAAAAAAAAACAAAUCUUUACAUUAUGUCUUUCAUAAAAUUUAAUAUUCUUUUUGAUAUCUUUUAUUGUAAUAGUAAAGAAAAAAAACAAAUCUCUAGGUAUACUACAAUGAUGGGAUGAUGAUGAAGUUCUAUUUGUUGAAACUUCCCCUGUUUUCAACAUUAUUACUAUUUAUUAUGGGAAUGUAUUUUCUAUAACUGGCAUCAUUAUAGAUUGCUUUUAUCACAGUCGUGGCAUUGUCACAUAUGAAACUUCAGGAGACACUCCGUUCAAAUUAAAAAUUCUGAAAUUAAAAUUUUAAAAUAUGUAAUUAAAAAUUUACAUUGAAAAAAUAUUGAGACUUUAAUAUUUUAAUUUAAAAAUUUAUAUUAAAUUUUUUUUAAAUAAUUAUAAAUUACUAAACUAUUAAAAACUUCACAUUGAAAAAUUUGUGAUUAAUAGUAUAAAUUUUUUUUGUUACAUAAAAUAUACAAAUGUUAAUAAAGUCAUAUGAAUAAGAGAUUUUAAUUAAAAAGUAUUCAUAUUAAAAAUAUACUAAAUAUCUGUAUCAAGUAUCGUUUGAAUUUAAUUAUAUAACAUAUAUACAAAUAAAAAUGAUUGUUUUGAUUUAUGUAAUAAUAAUAAUUUAUUGUAAAUAAAUAAUAAUGAUUGUUUUGAUUUAUGUUCUUACUCAGUUAUAUGCACAAUAGUUACACAAUUUUUAAUUAUUUAAUAUAUUUUAUAUUUUAUAAUAUGUGAAAACACACAAAAUAAAUAACAUAUGUAAGAAUAAUUUGUUUAGAUAGGGUUAAUCUAGGGAAAAAGACAGAUCUUAACUUAGUUUAAUAUAUAUUAUGAUAUUUAAAAUAUUUUGUUUGAUGUCCAAAAAAAAAAAGUUUUUGUUUUAUUUUUGUAUGGAGCCUCCAAAGAAAAAGAAUAUAUGGAGCCUCCCACUUGUCUCUGCUUCUUUUUAAAUACUUGUCCGAAAGAAAAAAAAUCCUCAACCGGAGAAAAUUCCGACAAAAGUUUAGCAAAAGCAACGGUGAUUCUCCGGCGAUGAAGUAACUAUGGGUUUCUUCAGACGUCUUUUCGGGAGCAAGAAGCAGGAGAAAACAACACAUACGAAGAACAAGAGUAAAAAAUGGAGCUUCACCACCAGAUCCUCGAAUCCGGCGUCGUCUUCUCAUCCAAGCAAGAGACGCACCGAUGAAGAAAUCUUGGACGUCGACAAGCAUGCGAUAGCCGUCGCAGCUGCCACCGCCGCGGUGGCUGAGGCGGCACUAGCGGCUGCUCAUGCGGCGGCGGAGGUCGUGAGACUCACCGGAAGAGGCGGCGGUUCGGUUACUCAAGCUAAUCGGAAUAACCGCCGGUUGGCUCAAGAGUUUGUAGCGGCGGUCAAGAUUCAAUCAUCCUUCCGUGGCUACUUGGUUAGUGAAUUCCCUGAAUUAUUCUUAAAAUUAAACAAUUUUCAAAAUUUAAAUCUUUAAUUUUAUUAAAAAUCCUCGAAAAAACUUUGAACUAAAGUGUGGAAUAGCUGUCUGAUGUUGAUAUUUCUACUUAAUCCCAAAUUUAAAUAAUUACUGAAAAAUCAUAAAGAUAACUCAAUUUUGUAUUUUUUCUAUUGGUCCCGGAAAAUACUAGGAAGAGACAAAUGAAUAUGAAACUUGUAACGAUCCUAUACGCUCUACCGACACUAUUUAGUGGUCUUCGUAAGAAAUAUUUUAUUAAAUAGUUUGUUUUCUUUAAAAUUAUAAUUAAUUUGAAUUAGGUGGGUCAAAUGUACAUAUACUCUAACCUAUUGCUUAGAAAAAAAUGAAUUAGGUGUGUAAGUUUGUAACCAUUUAAAAAAAAAAAAAAAAAAAAAAAAAAAAAAAAAAAAAAAAAAAAAGUUUGUAACCAUUUAGAAGAAAUGUAAUUGAUUUCCGAGAAACAACUUUGUAGUUUUUGUUUUUGUAUAAUAUAAACUUUUUUAAUCUAGGCGAGGAGGGCGUUGAGAGCAUUGAAGGCGUUAGUGAAGCUCCAAGCGUUAGUGAAAGGACACAUAGUGAGGAAACAAACAGCUGACAUGCUGCGUCGGAUGCAAACCCUUGUCAGACUCCAAGCUCGAGCGAGAGCAUCUCGCUCUUCUCACGUUCCUCCCUCUCCACACUCUCUCCACGCACGAUGCGUUUCAGAGGCUGAAUACAGCAAAGUCAUUGCCAUGGACCACCACCGUUCUCUAUGGAACGCACCGCAGUACAGUGAAGACAACGACAAGAUCCUAGAAGUCGACACUUGGAAGCCUCACUUCGCUUCCUACUACCACAAGGAGUCGUCGCCAAGUAAAAGAGGAUCUCUUCCCACAAGUCCACAAGUAAGGUCUAGACCAGGAAGCAGCAGUGGCGGCGGUUCCAGGAGAAGAACGCCGUUCACGCCAACGAGAAGCGAGUACGAGUACUACUCUGGGUAUUACCCUAACUACAUGGCUAACACUGAGUCUUACAGAGCAAAAGUCAGGUCACAAAGUGCACCAAGACAGAGGCUUCACGAGUUGUCUUCGGAGAGUGGAUACAAGAGGUCAGUACAGGGACAGUAUUACUACUACACAGCUGCUGCAGAGCGGUCGUUUGAUCAGCGUUCAUAUCUCAGUUCUGAUCCUAAUUUGUUUUAGUAGUUGAAGGAAUGUGUAAAUCAGAUACCGACACACAAGUACAGACAGUGAUCAAUCUCUGUUAUGUAAUUUUCUUUUGACUAGAUCCUACGGUACAGAUCUUGUACCAACAAGCUAUAGGGGUCCACAUUUGUCUGGUUAAAGAAACUUCAAUAAUUUGUAGUCAUGUCAAGUCACAAGUUUGCGCAAUGAAGGACAACCACACACACACACAAGCAAUCACACUAAGCAUUUACAAAGUAAACAAUGUUUGCUUAUUUAUCAAACGUCUUCACAACUCCAUUUUGAAGUGGGGAUACAGCGUAGGUAGCGACACCAGCGGCAGUGAUCAUUACCGUCUUCUCCUCUGAAUAGCAUCACCAGCGUCACCACAAACCUGCCAGAAACAUUAGGGGGAAGUUAACAUUGAAAUUACAAGAGUGAUUGAUUCUAGAAGAAUGCAAACUUUACCCGGCGAUCAUCAAAGCUAGAGAGAUGAGCCUUAAUAUGUAUUGGUAAGGCUUGUACUUAGACGUCAGACGUCUGUCUUGUGGAAUAUGCUCUCUAGCUAACCACUUGAACUGAGGACGAGCCAGCAGAACAAAACCGAGGAGAAACCCAACUACAAACCCACCCAGAUGACCCAUAUUAUCAACGUGAGGUAGAAUCCCAAAGGCCAGGUUUAUCACAACGACAAACAAAAGCGUCAAGAGUGCUGCAACCUGUAACAAAAAAAAAAGGUUAAUUAAACUAUUUGAAAAUUUCAAAAGGUUUCUUAGUAUUGAGAGAUUAAUUAACCUUGUUAGAGUAGAUAGUCCAGUUGGUAAGAAUCUCGGAAAGCAUUGAGCCAAGAAGUCCAAAGAGAGCACCAGAAGCUCCAACAGAGACACCAUUUCUGAUAAAGAGAGAAGACAAUACGCUUCCUCCUACUCCUGAUACUACGUAUAUAACUCCAAUCCUAACUGCAAACUCAAAACCAAAAAAUUUUCAACUUUUUCUAUAAAUUUACGUUACUUGAUGAUGACUAUAACGUCAUACCGAAACCAAACUGCUGCUCCAGGCGAAUACCGACGAAGAGGAGACUGAUCAUAUUAGCCACAAGAUGAAUAACACCGGCAUGUAACCAUAUACAUGUAAAGAGACGCCAAGCUUCAUGCUCUUCCACGACUCUGCACCACUCAAGUGAUCCUAACUUCACCAAUCUUCAAGUACCAUACCAAAAACAUUAAAUGAUAGUAACGCAAUUCAUAAAACGCAGUCGUAUUACAUUACAAAGUAACGCAAUUCACAAAACGCAGUCGUAUUACAUUACAAAGUAACGCAAUUAACAAAACGCAGUCGUAUUACAUUACAAAGUAACGCAAUUAACAAAACGCAGUCGUAUUACAUUACUAAGUAACGUACGUACGUGCGUGAAGAUGGACCGAAGAGAGGAUUGUUCCGGAGAGGCUCGAACGAGAGUCUCCCGAGGAACGUGGCGACGCAGUGGUGGUUGGGAGAAUGAUGAGACUCCGAAUGCUUAGGGCAGUUGUUGACGAACAUCGCGAUGGAGAAGAGUGUCACGUUGGUUACGACGAACAAUGGAACCAGCCACGACGACAACGGUGAUGGAAUAGGCGGCGGUCCGAUUCUGCUCCGGCCACCGUCUUCGCUUCCGAUCUCUCGGUUCUCCGGAUCGUCUCCUAAGGCCAUUGAUGAUCUCUCUCUUGCUCUCUCGCUUCGACUCUGUAACUGAAGGCGGUAAAAACGGUUAAAACUUUAUUUGAGUUGAGAGAAAGUGGGUUUAUACUGAACCAAUAGGAACGUUACACGUGUAAUGCGUUGUACUCGUUUGAUGGGACGCGCGUAUUUUUCGAAUGAGAAGCGUUCAUCUCAAGGCUCAAAGUAUUACGACCCGUUAGUUAGAUAAAUCCGGCCCAUUUAAAUCUAAACUAAGACCCAGUAAGGCCCGUUAAUUGGGUCUUCUUGUCUAGAAUCAAAUCAGGUAUUUUCCUUUUCGAUUAUUUUAUUUUGAAUAAAAAAGUUUAUGUAAUUAUGCUUUUGAGAAAGGUUUGUGUACCUUUCUGGUGGCGAAAUGUUGUAAUCGGUCAUUACGUAAAAUUCCAUGUCUUAUUAUUCACGUUAGAUGCGUUUUUUUUUCUUUCUUAAAUUCCAGUCACACCGCAUUAUAAGAAUAAAUAGCUUAUCGUAAUAUAAAUUUCAUAUUCCCCAAUUAACAAAAUAAUUUUUUAAAAUUCGGCUUUUUAUACCGAUAAUAAACUGUGACCACUCUUCGACGUGUCAAAAUCUCCUUGGACCAAAUAAAUCACUAGCUCACUUCUGUAGUAACUAUCUUCACGUGACUAACGCUACAGUCAAAUUUAAUACCUCUCGAGUUUUUUUUUUGUUAUUUUUUUUAUAGUAUCUUUUUGCAUUUAAUUUCUGUAAUUAUCAAUUAGUCCCUAAUUUCGCAAUAAUAGUUGGCUGUAAUUGUCUUUAAUAAUAAUUAUUGAUGAUAAAAUUAAAAAAAAAAGAAUAAAAAUUGGCAGUAAGUAAAUGAAUGGAGUCAAAGACUUCAGACAGAUCGUCGACUUGGAAAAACACAGUGGGUCCCACUCUCUCUUCCCUCUUCUUCCUCCUCAAAUCUCUCUCCUUGAGAACUCGCUGUUUAAUGAUUGUCUCUGUUGUUCUUCGAUCCAUCUUCUAAGACAUGGGAAGCUGCUGGUCCGAUGGUAGUGGUCGCGGUGGUGGAAUGGUCGGUGUCGGCGGGAACACUUCCUCCUCCGCCGCCGCCGCCGCCUACGCUAGUCCAAACGACGCCGUUGACUACUACCUCAAGUCUCGAGGCUUCAACGGCCUCUUCUCUCAGAUCGAGGUCUCUCUCCUUCAAAUCUUCUUACUUCCUUUUAGACCAAAGAUUUGAGUUUCCUCUCACUUCAUGUUUUUGUCUUCUUCCUUCCUUCGCAGUUGUCGUUCUCCGCUUCAAACUUGCGAGACAUGGACGUGACUUCAAAGGUUCGUGCUUUUGUAAUAAUAUGUCUUAAAAAGGAACUUUCUUUUAAUCUUAUUUAUACUUGUGUCCUGGUGUACAGAGCGAUGCAAUGGUGGUUGUUUAUACAAAAGGAAGAGACGGAACACUCGCAGAAUCGUUCCGUAGCGAAGUCGUGUUGAACUCUUUGAAUCCUAAAUGGAUUAAGAAGUUUAAUAUUCGUUAUCAGUUCGAGGUUGUGCAGACUUUGCUGUAAGUUAACUCUGCCUUAUGUUAGAGGAAAUCAAAUGAAGUAAAAGUAAAGUUUCUCACUUUAUGACCUUUUAAUCUUCUCCACAGGUUUCGUAUUUACGAUAUUGACACUCAGUUUCAAAACUCAAAGGAGGAGGUACUGUGUACAAUCUCAUUGUAUGCUCAAAGUGUUUACAUUAUAUGAUUUUGUUAAUUUUUUUUUUAAUUUUCAGAUGCUUAAGCUAGACGAGCAGCAGUUUCUCGGUGAGGCAACGUGUACAUUAUCUGAGGUAUUAUUUUGGUUUUAGGACCUCUCUGUCUUGCUAUAGAUUAAUAAUAUUGAUUCACAUGUUAUAUUUACUCAAUUAUGCAGGUUAUCACCAAACCAAAUAGGACGAUUGCUUUGGAACUCACGCGUAAAGAAGGAACUCAGCCACAGAACCAUGGGAAGCUUAUAGUCCAUGCUGAGGAGUCUCUAGCUUCUAAGACCACUACAGAGAUUGUUUUUAGGUGCUUGAAUUUGGAAUCAAUGGAUCAUUUCUCUAAAAGUGUAAGCUUUUGUAUUAUCACCAUUUUUACCAUUAUUAACUUACACACUGUAUGUAGUAUAUAACUUGAGUUCUCUUUCUCAGGAUCCGUUUUUGGUUAUAUCUAAGAUUGUGGAGCAUGGGAGUCCAAUCCCGGUUUCUAAAACCGAAGUCUUGAAGAAUGAUGCUAAUCCGGUUUGGAAACCAGUCUCUCUAAGUGUUCAGCAAGUGGGGAGUAAGGUAAUAAGAGAGAGAGUUUCUUUAUUACAUAUUAGUUUGCCUGCUUGAGGAGGAAGGUGUUAACAGUUCUCUUAUGUAAUAAUUUUCAGGACACCCCACUGGUAAUAGAGUGCCUAGACUUUAAUGGCAACGGCAACCACAAUCUUAUUGGGUAACCAACAAGCUCUCCAUUACGUCCAUUCUAGUUUAGGAUAUGAGGAUGAGAGAUGAUUAUUGUUUGUUGUUGGAUUUUGCCAGAAAAGUUCAGAAGUCACUUGCAGACUUAGAAAAGCUUCAUUUGAGUGGCCAAGGAAUCAAUUUGUUCUUACCUACUGGUGUUGGACAUAAACAUGAAGACAAGGUAGGGAUGUUUAGCAAUAAAUGGUUGAAUACGAUUCUUAAUUGCUAGAAACCUGAUACCGUUUGCCAUUGUUUCAGGCGUUAAAAAGUCAGCUGUUUGUGGACAAGUUUACUGAAACUGUUCAGCAUACGUUCCUAGAAUACUUGGCUUCUGGAUUUGAAUUGAACUUCAUGGUGGCAAUUGAUUUCACAGGUAUGAAUUUAUGCCGUGGUGAAAGGAUAUGAUAGGACUGCGGUUUCCGAUAGUUUGGGUAGUUCGGUUCGGUAUUCGGAUAGUUUGGUUUUUAAAAAUUUUACCGAAACUAAAUGAAGUUUUUGGUUUCGGUUAUAUUUUGGUUAAAAAUUUGGUCAGUUUCGGGUAAUUUCGGUUCAAAAUUUUGGUUAAUUUGGUUAGUUUGGUUCGAAGCUUGGUUGCCGAACCGAAUUUUUUUUAUUUUAACUAACCGAUUGCCGAAACGAAAACCAGAUUUUUAUUUUAAACCUGCUGAAUUGAACCGAACUCGUAACCAAACUAACCAAAAUUUUUGGUUUGGUUCGGUUCAAGACUCUGCCUCUAAUGCAUUUCAUUUGAACUAAUCCAAUUGUCUCUCAUCUUUCAUUAGCUUCAAAUGGAAACCCUCGCCUCCCAGAUUCCUUGCAUUACAUUGAUCCUACAGGACGAUUAAAUGCCUACCAGAGAGUAAGGACUCUCAGUAUAUCCAUAGUUUAGUUACUGCUUAACUUUUCUUGCAGAGGCGUUGACUGUGUGUAAUCUUCUUUCUUUCUUUCUUUGUAUUCAGGCAAUAGUGGAAGUUGGAGAAGUGUUGCAGUUCUAUGACACUGACAAACGCUUUCCAGCAUGGGGUUUUGGAGCUCGUCCUAUAGACAUCCCAGUUUCACAUUGCUUUAACCUAAACGGAAGCAGUACAUAUUGUGAGGUCUGUCCAACAAACUCUGAAUCACAUUCCUCAAGUUAAACAACAUGAAACUAACCUUAUCCCAUUUUUGUUUUUCUCAGGUAGAUGGGAUCCAAGGUAUCAUGAAUGCAUACAAUGGUGCUCUCUUCAACGUCUCUUUUGCAGGGCCUACUCUUUUUGGUCCCGUGAUCAACGCUGCUGCAACAAUAGCAAGCGAGUCACUCGCUCAAAAUGCAAAGAGAUAUUACGUCUUGUUGAUAAUCACUGUGAGUUUAUGUCCUUGUGUUACGUGUUUUCAUGGUUCAAAACAUCGGUCUAGGCACGGUAGCUUGGUGCUAGCCGAAAUGAUUUUUUAAAAAUCCGAUUUAUACAACUCAAAUUGAUUUAAACCGUUAUACAUCAGUUAAAAUCGGUUUAAAUCGAUAUAGAUUAGUCUAAAUCUGUUAAAUUAAACUAUAAUAUUAGUAAAAAUUGGUCUAGAUGGUGCAUUUGCGUCCUGUCUAGUAGGCAUGUUGGACCUAAAAACAAAACAAUUUUUCUACAACGAUUUUUUAAAAAUCAGUCUCAGCGCUAAAAAAGUCGGUCUAGGCGCCUUCCUAAUCAAUAAUCUUAUAUAAAGCGCAUACUUAUCACUAGGAUUUCUUGAACAUGGUUAAAAAGACAGUGGAAACUAAACUUGCCUGUUUCUUUUUUUAGGAUGGAGUGAUAACAGAUCUGCAAGAAACGAAAGACGCAUUGGUCAGUGCAUCAGAUCUGCCAUUAUCAAUCCUCAUCGUUGGAGUAGGAGGAGCUGACUAUAAAGAAAUGGAGGUUCCUAAUAAGAAAUUCUCAACAUUACAAAGUCUGUGGUUUUCCAUUAGAUUCUUACACUCGUUGUUGUUUAGGUACUAGAUGGAGACAAAGGAGAGAGACUAGAAAGCUCGAGCGGUCGUGUGGCGUCACGUGAUAUAGUCCAGUUCGUUGCAUUACGAGACAUGCAAUGUGAGUCUUGAUAUGUUUGGCUCAAGAAAAACAUUGAGUGUUUUUGGUUAGGUGAUGAUUUUUUUGUGUGUGUGUUUAUGUGUAGAUGGAGAGGUCUCAGUGGUGGAAGCGUUACUAGCGGAAUUGCCUUCACAGUUUUUAACGUACAUGAGAAACCGUAAUAUCACUCCCACAAGUAUUACCACCUCCGCUUCUUGAUGCAUUGUCAACACUAUGUACAUACAUUCAGCUCUAAACGCUGUCGUUUUGGUUUUCUAUUUUAUAUUAUCUGGAAUUUUUCCUUUUCCAGUAUGCAACGUCAAGUUUUACUUCAGUCUUUGAUUUGUUUCUUGUUUCUUUUUCUUUUCUUCUAAAAAAAUAUUAUUUUUAUUUAAUAUUAUUUGCUAAUUUACAAGUUGAUUUGGGCAUACUGAAAAUCAUGUAGUAUUGUUCAACGGUCAACAAAUUAAGUUGUUGACUUUCUUAUUUUAGGUGCUGACUUUUCUUCCUAAGCCGUAACUUUAAACGUGAUCGUUGAUUUUAUAUUUAGUACUUUACCGCAUUUGUCGCUGAAAAUUAUGAACUUUGAAAAAUAAAUGGAACUAGGGCAACAUAUUAAACACACCUUCUUAUAAAUAUAGCUAUUAAUAUUUAAGCAGAAUACUUGAUAUAAAUGAUCAAAUGUGUAUAUACCUUAAGUUUAAGUACGUGACAACCUUCUCAAACUCAUUUUCUCUAUUAGCAUAUUCGCAAAAAAAUAUGUUGAUUCGUUUUCUUUCUACUUUCUAGUCAACAUAACCUAAAACACCUACCCAUGUUUAUUUCCUGUUAUAAGUGUUUCCCCAUCAAAUUCAUAUUCAUUGACAUCUUGAAGAUACUCCUCUUUUUUUCAAUUGACUUUCUUAUGUACAAUGUUAUCUUUCGUCGUAAUCUUAUUACAAUGUCUUUGUUUAUAGCCGAGCAAAUGUUAGUUAAUUUGAUUGUACCCAAAACAUGUUAGCUAACUUUAAUAAUACUUAAAUGUCCACGUUAUAGAUCGUUGAAUAUGUCUAAUGAUUUGGCUUCUUCAAAAUAUGUACAGUAUAUGUUAUGUCGUUCUACACAACACAUUGGUUAUACCAUACUUUGGAGUUCCACGUGAAUCGCUGAAUCCUUGUAGUACGACGACCAAUUAGUCCAUAUGUGGGAUCAGGAAAGACUAACAGUUUGUUCAUUACAACUCUCUUGGUUCCUCUCCUAAUUCCUUAACCAGAUACCUCUCUCCCGACCAAAAAUAGGUAAUUUCUUACAGUAAGAAAUUUAAUAUGUGGGAUCAGGAAAAAUAGAUAGUUGUGAUGUGGGACUGAAGGCCCAGAGGUCCCAGACAAAGUGCUUUUGUGAACAUAUCCUUAAAUAAUUUGUUACAUACCAAAACGGUACUUUCUUCAAAUAUUGUUGUGAUUUUUCUUUUGAACUUUAUGUUAUUACUGUGUUUCUAGAUCGAGAACGAAUGAGUGUUUUCACUUUUUAAUAAAAUAUACAAACAGUUUUAACUUUACAAUAUUAAUGGGUUAAUUACAGUGCCGUCCCAGUAAAUUUGAUGGUCUAAAGCAUAUUUAUAUACAAUAUCAUAUAUAUAUAUAUUAUAUUAUAUUUUCUAUUUGAAAUAUAAAAUGAUAUAGUAGGUUAGUUACAUCAGAUUAAUAUCAGAUAAUUAGUAGAUAUUUUAGUAAAAUAAAAACUAUUAGUUUGUUUGAACUAUUAUUAUUUGUAAUCCAAGUAACACAGAAAAUAGAAACACAGAUAAUAAAUAAAUUAUUUCAAUUAAAAGAGGUUGUUUCAAAAAAUUCAAAAUAAGAAAGGAAUGCAUAUGUAAAAAAAAGGAAAUAUUACAAGUUAACAUAAACUAUAACAUUGAAUGUGCAAAUUCCAACUCAAACAAAAAGUGAAAAUAAUGUUUUUAACCACUUGACCAUAAUCAUUUUUUUCAAAAAAUGUGGCCUCUAAAAUUGUAAGAAAAUUUGUGGCUUAAAGCUCUUGCUUCACUGGCUUUAUGGCAGGGACGGCCCUGGUUAAUUAUCUUCCACGGAAAUGAAUAUGUUUAUUAAUAUAUAGAUAAUCUAUACCGUCAUACGGACUUAAUUUUACGAACCCACACCUGCCUUUUUUUAAUGAAAACCCACAUAUGCUUUCAGUUAAUUAACUUGAAUCUUCGACUUAUGGCAUGCAUUUGAAAACGUUUAAUUGAUCAUUGGAUACAAAACUUCCACAUAACUAUGAAGUUUAAACUGAAUUAUUUCAUAUUUCAGAUAUAGAUGAAACUAGAAAACAUAAUCGUGUAUCUAUUUGUAAAAAGACUCCAAAACAACAUGUUCAGUUCACACGUUUUAUCUUGAGUUAGUGAUCAGUGUGUAGUGUGUAUACAUCUCUCUUAGAUGUAUAACUAAGUUUCUUUUUCAAUAUCUGUCCACAUCUUUACGUCAGAAAAAAAUGAAUCCCCUAAUGUACGAAAACUAUUGUUUAUUUAUAUUUUUAAUGAAUGGAAAACAAAGUUGUUAUAUUCUUAUUCCCUUAACUUUUUCUAAUGUCGGUUUAAUUAUACACAAAUAAUAUAUUUCUUAUAUAAAAUCAAUCCGUCAAAAUAGAACUUUUAUGCUUGUUUUCUUCUUCGAUUCCAUGCAUGUGUUUACGAAAAGAAACUGGUAAAUAAUAUGUACAUGCAUGCAUUUUCCUUCUUUAUUUUUUGUCUUUUUAUCAUCUUGGAUCUUUUUACAGUGUUCAUAUUUAUUUAUUUUCUUCUGUCAGAGCUUUUUUAGUAAUCUUUAUUGAUAUCCAUUUCUUAAUCUGUUCAGAUUCAUACGUACGCUUUUUUUAUCUAUAACCAAAUGAAAAGGCCAUUUUCACGCGUCUCUACAGUUUAACAAAUACAGUACUCAUACAAUUGCAUGAUUUUUAUGUGCCUCGAAAUUAUGAUAUAUAUACUGAACAAAAUUUGAAAAAUAUGCAAAACUUCAGAUUUACGUUUUGUUGUUAUUUUUCUUAUGUUCACACAAACAAAAUGUUUUAUAAAACAUUCAAAAUUCUUCACUACAGAACCCUAAUUAAUAUCUCCAGCUCUUCCACUUUCCUUGUCUUCUUUGUUUCUCAUUUUCAACGCAUCGUCGUCUAUUUGAAACAGUGAAAAAACUGAAACCCUAAUAAUCGAUGAAUAAUGGGAAGAGGCCCUUUCGAGCUGGUGAAUCUGAGGAGAAGAAAGAAGCCGAUGACGACGAGAACAUAUUUCCGUUCUUCUCGGCUCGAUCUGAAUACGACACGCGUGCCAUGGUCUCAGCCUUGACUCAAGUCAUUGGAAACCAAAGCAGCACGCAUGAUAAUAAUCUACAUCACCCUGUUGAGUAUGAUCAGCAAGAUCCCAUCCAACAUGUUCCUCCUACUCAAGAUCAUGGUAUAUAUGUAAACAUAUAUAUAUAUACGUGCACAUAUAGCUUGAUUUGCAAGCAUAUUUAUUGCAACUAAUUAACAGCUAUAGUAUAUGAUGAUAUGUACAUAAAAUGAGCAGAUCGAUGAUAUAUAUAUAUAUUCUUACUUCACAAGUUUCUUGUAGGGUGUAUAAAAGCAUAUAUAUGAGGUUAAUAAUUUAUGUAAUUUAUGUCACUUGUUGUUGAAGGAAACUUGAGGAAAAUACAUUAUAGAGGGGUAAGGCAACGACCAUGGGGAAAAUGGGCUGCCGAAAUUAGGGAUCCACAAAAGGCCGCACGCGUGUGGCUUGGGACAUUUGAGACCGCUGAAGCUGCGGCCUUAGCUUAUGAUGAAGCAGCUCUUAAGUUCAAAGGAAGCAAAGCCAAACUUAAUUUCCCUGAGAGAGCUCAACUAGCAAGUAACACUAGUACCAUUACCGGUCUACCAAACUAUUACUCUUCUAAUAAUCAAACUUACUACUCAAAUCCGCAGACUAAUCCACAAAACAUACCAUAUUAUAACCAAUACUACUAUAACCAAUAUCUUCAGCAAGGGGGAAAUAGUAACGAUGCAUUAAGCUAUAGUCUGGCAGGUGGGGAAACCGGAGGCUCAAUAUAUAGUCAUCAGACAUUAUCUAAUACCACUUCUUCACCAGCUGGUGGAUCUUUAAGGCAACAAGAAGAUUACACAAGAUUUUGGCAUUUUGGGGAUUCUUCUCCUAAUUCUGGGGUUUGAGAUCCUCAUAUAAAUAAGGGGUUUCGGGUGACUUGUUAUGAGGAGAUCAUAUCAUAUGUUCCUUGAGUGUUUUCUGUUUUCAUUAUGCGUGUGUCGUUUGUGUAUCAUUUUCUUAAUUAGUUUCUUCUUUCGAGAGUUUUCACUGGGUUUUUUGUUAACAAGCGUUGAUUUUAAGCUAAAUUCAUAAAAUAACAAAAUAUUGUCCUUAAAAUUUAUGGGAGUAGUCUCAAAUAAGCACACACAUACAUACUGAUACAUACAUAUAAAUUAUUCACCGGUUUCUCAGUACAUGGUGUUAAUGGAUAUAUCAUAUGGCAUGUAUAACGUGAGUGAUCAAAACAAUAUAUAAAAUCAACGAUAAAAAAUCUUAAGUUUGUACAAUGUCACAUCACAUGAUAAAUGUUAAGAUUUUGGAUCAUUUUGAUGUGUCGAUUGUAUUGCCACAUCAUAAAUGCACGCAAACCAAAACUUUCUUGAAUGAAAGUACAUGUAUCUUACAUGACAAAGCCAAAGCAGCAUACCUACAUAUAACUUAACUCGUAUAAUAUUUGCAUAUUUGUUGAGCUCUGGUGGUUGAACCAAAAAAGAGGUUAAUAAUUUUGUCUAAUUAUCUUUGCGAGAUUGGUGUAUUUAAAAUCUAGAUUUGUACCGAAUUAUUUAUUGAACUGGAUUGUACGUCUGUGACUGUAAAUAUAUGAAAAUGUGGUCGUAUUUUUAUGUAAAAUAUAAUAAAAAUGUUUUUCUAAUGAUGAGAAUAGUUGGGUUCCUACUAUUCAAUUAUUUUAAAUAAAACCGAAAAUAUUCUUUUCCAGUUUUGGCUAACAUGGUAAUUGUAUGCACCAUGUAAUAUUUUGGAAAAAUCUAAUAAACCCAUACAUUUGAAUAUCUUUUUAGUAUUUCCAUAUGAUAAUUAUGAUGAUACAAAAUUGUACUAUAAAAGUGAUCUGAAUUAAUUCAUCAAUUGCAUGCCGUUUAGUUAGAAAUCAAUUGAUUUUGACAUAUCAUUUAGUUUUUUUUUUGUCACAAAUCAAUUGUUUUUUUAGUUAGAAAUCACUUUUAUGGUUUGUUAGAAAUCAAUUGUUUUUUUUUUGCCAUUUAGUUAGAAAUCAAUUGUUUUUUUUUGCCAUUAGUUAGAAAUCAAUUGUUUUUUUUUGCCAUUUAGUUAGAAAUCAAUUGUUUUUUAAGUCAUAAAUCAAUUGAUUUUGACAUAUCAUUUAGUUUACAAAUUAAGAACGAAGUAAAAACAUUCUUACACACAAACUUCAUGUGACAUUUAUUGGAUUGUUUUAACCCUUCUUUUAAUUGGUUUAUCUAUUAAACCAGUAAUUAUAAUGAGACUUCAACGAGCCUUAUAUUAGUUUUAAUUCUCAAAAAAUAAAUGGGAUUGGAAGUAACAAGUAUGAAAACUUGACCAAAACAGAUUCCAUAUGGUCUGUUCAACUCCUUGACUUUGUCAAUCCAAAGAGGUUGGGUUGACUCCUUUUGACCCAUGUUUUAUUAUUAUUUUCUCUCGUUUUUUUUUUUUUUUUAAAUGCAUAUACGUUAUUUAUGGUAUACAAUGAUAUAGGAAAUGUGUAAUGCGGAUUCAUACAAUAUUACACACAUGAUGAAAAUAACUAAAUUUACAGGAAUUAACAUCUGAGUUAGAUUCAAUGUACAUAUUUUCAGAAAAAAAAAUUCGUUUUGAAAUUCAGACUCGUUCCUCAUAUCAUCAUGUCAACUGAAAUGAUGGUUACAAUGAUAAUGAAUUUUGGUGUAAUUAAAACACUUUCAAACCAACGCGUUAUCUCCUCUUUCUUUUGUCUUUUUUCUUUGUUAACUUUUCUUUCAACUUAUUUUUGUUAACUCUUUUUUAACCUGUCGACAAAAGAAAUUAAUUUUUACAUAUUAUCGUAAAUGGUUAGUGUUUGGUAUAUGAAUCUCGGCCGCCGACCAAAAUCUGUACUUCUUGACAUUCGUGGAAAAUAAAAGCAUUAUAUUAUUAUUUUUCAAUAAAAUAUUGCAACGUGCGGAUGUAGCAGCGCUAUCACAUAAAUGUUAUUACUGAUAAGUAAAAUUUAUAAAAUAAAUAAAGGAUUUUUAUGAUGAACUAUUGUUAGCAUUUUUCUACAUUGCUCUGAUUUUGUCAGCAUUUUUGUAACUAUCUUUAGUCGUUUUCCCUUCUGGCAUAUAGUACAAAGACAUGGCAAGUGAUGAACAUUCAACUCAUGUUUAUCACAUUUCCAAUUAAUUCUAAAAUUGUUUGAUGUGAGUUCAGAUAUCGACAAUUGGUUACAAAACAAUUCAAAAAUAUUAAAUAUAAAUACAGUUAUUAUCUAUCCCGACAGACGGAAUAUAAGAGAAGAGAAUAUCUAUAAUCAGAAGGUUGACGUCAAUGGAAAUGGGGAUGGCCAGCAGCACCGCACGCACGCCUGCGUAGCACCGUCCUUUCAACCUUUGCGGCCUUCUAAGCUCUCACAGAUCUCAACCACUUCCUUUUGCCUUCCUUUUCAAACUUAUCGGCCCGAAGACGUAUGUAUGCAAACUAUGCAUGCAUACUUGUUAUACAAAAAUAAAAUCAAAUAAGAAGACGUAUAUAUUGCUUGUUUCCUUCGUAUGGGCCAUGGGGAUGUUCAAAUUGCACCGACUCACAUUCAUUGUAAUAAUGUAUACAAAGCAGCCCACUUCAGUUUUCUAAAUAGUCUGGCCCAUUUUAUCAUCCCGAAAAUGGGUUUUAAGACCACAACUAACUUUUUUUAUUGGGUUAAUCCACGUUUAAAAAAUAAGAAACAAGUGGCAAAACAAUAACUCCGACCUGCCGGAAUCGAACCAGCGACCUAAAGAUUUGCUGUCACAGACUACAGUCUUCCGCUCUACCAACUGAGCUAAGGUCGGUUGUUGUUAAAAACAAAAAGCCUAUUCUUAGUAAUGUUAAAUGUAAUCUUUUUUUCUAACUUCUAAACCGGAAAAGAGAACCAGCGAGAUUAUGACUACCAAAUCAUGAACCACCUUGAUUCCUCUCUUACGUUACAAAAAAAAAAAAAAACUCAGGGUCAAAACAUUCAUAACUUUGAUCAAACACACGUACAAUUGACCUACCAGUUUGAUUCAAAACCGGAUGGAUACGCACGGUUUCAAUUUAACCGAUUUGCACGUGCCGUGUAGAAUCGCACGUGUAAGCCCCACAGUUAUGUUCGUUCUUGUAGCCUUGUAGGCAUUGAAAUCGAUGAUGGGGAACUCGUUCGUUUUGUGGAGUAUGUUGAUAAAGACAACAUUGGAACUAUAACGUUCCAAGAGUGGAAGAGAUUUUCUUUGGUUAUACCCUCAUGAAGCCACGAUUGAAAACACAUAUAAUCACUGGGAAAGGUGUGCUUAAUCAUUGGAACUGUAUUAACAUUUUACCAAAAAAAAAAAAAAAAGGUGUGCUUAAUAGACAUUGGGGAGGAAGCUGUUAUAUAUACCAGCUGGUAUAAGCUAACAUGUCAAAAGAAACAGAUUGCUUCUCGGGAGGACUAGCCGUGCCAUUUCUAGGACUAGAGACGACAAUGAAGCAAGAGUUCAUGGAAACGUUGAGAGGUUUCUACAGAGGACUCUUACCAAAUCUUGUAGUAGAUCCAAGCAUAUUGUUUAUGAAGCUAUGAAGAAAAACAUCAAGAGCCAUUACAAUUUUUUCUCGGCGACAUUCUUUUUUCAUCACACUCUUAGAGUUAUAAAACUUAUAAUUAUGUGAGAUAACAGUAACAAGCUGAUUUACAUUUCUCAACUAUCGAUAUUUUGUAUGAUCAUUUACAUUUUAAUCUCGACUAUAAAAUAUGAUCCACGAUAUUGACAACGAUCGUAUACCUAUAAACAUUUGUUUAUAUAUAAUGGUACUCUCAACUUUACAUAUAUUUAUUUUAAAAUUCAGUGAUUCAAAUCUUUUUAUUGUUUUUAAUUAUAUUGUUUAGGAUACAAACAACAUUUUUUUAUUGUAAUACAAGCAACAUUACAAUAAAAUAUAGUUUACAUUCCAAAAUUUAAACGAUUUAGUUAGUUUUUAUUAAAAUAAGAGCAAUUGGAUUAAAAAAAAAGAAGAGCAAUUGGAUUAUUAAAAAAAAAAAACUAUAUAAGAGCAAUUGGAACAAUAGUUAUAAGGAUUUUCUUAAAUAGUAAACCGGUUAUUAUGGAAACCGCCGCCAAAAUAAGGGAAACACCGUGAUAACCCCCACAAAUAAAAGCACAUGUACAACAAGUUCCUUGUUAGUUAUGGACAUUGUAGAUGCUAUCCUCUAUCACAUGGCUUGUAACUAAAUAAAAGAGAGCAGGUAGUGAGAGAUAAUUGAUUAUGAAUAAGCACUCUUUAAACAAAAGUAUUAAAAAUAAUGCAUUGCAACUAGAAACCUUUUUCUUUAAUGAUAUAGACAUGCUAGAAACAAAACUAUAUUGAGCCGACGAUACAGUAGCAUAGUUAUAAAGUUAUAUGAAAUUCUACAGUUUUACACAGAUCCCGGAUCUUGAAAUUUUCUCAGUGUGUAUCUUUUAAGCAAUAAAAAACUUGUAAAUGGCAACUCGGAUCUUAAUAUAUAAAGAUAGUUUAGAAAGAAACAACAAGAUUGUAAAGCUAUUAAAAGCAAUCAGAAUACUUCUCGUGAGAGAAUCAACACAUCACCGGAAGAAGAAAUAAAAACAUUAAAGAUCGAAAAUACGAAAAGAAGAAAGGCGUAGCCUUCCCUUUGCCUCUGAUGACUUGCCGUUUGUAUCCUUCUCCGUUAACAAGAACAGAGAAAGAUAGCGGAACCGAGUAAACUCCGGUUAAUCGUAGCUUGAAUCCUUCUUACCGGCGUCUUCGUGUUCCGUUUCUUCCUCCAUAUCUUCUUCUUCUCUUCCUUAGAUUAGUGGCAAGGAGAGAUAAAAUGUUAGUGUUUCUUUUAGUCUUCUAUGUCUAUCUUCAACCCAUUUAUAAUGCUUCAUUUGGUCCCAUAUCCAAAUCAUUAUUAAUUUACUAUUGUUAUUUUUUAAAGUAUAUGUUUUGCUCAAUUUUAUUUCAACGCUAUGGAAUCUUUAUGAAAGUUAUACCUAACUUCAGUAAAAUUCUAAUAAGCACUUCAAUAAUGGGGGUGUGUUUUACUCUUAAACUAAUUCAGUUUGCAUUAUUAUUAUUUUGAGUAAUAUUCAGUUUGCAUUAUUGCAUGGCAUAUAAUUUUUUUAAAAAAAUUUCCACUUUGCAUUAUUGCAUAGCGUGGAAAUCUUAAAUGAAUUCCAGUUUUAAUCAAUAAUCCCACAUAAUAGUUUUAUACAAUGUUAGAUGCUAGCUACCUCUCAACUAUCAGUUUCUGGGAUGUGAAGAAAUGUCAGAAGCAUUUUCUCAAAACAAAAAAGAAGAAAUGUCAGAAGCAGUCGUCAAAUAUCAUUUGCUGAUAAAAAAAUAUGGUUUGCUUUCCUUCAUCUAAAACUAUUUUCUUAUUUUUCUAUAACUUUUCCAUGACAAUUAAAAACACAAGCCGGUUAUAUAUAUUCAUGUGUCUGUCAUUUCCACUAGGAAGCAAUAAAUAAUCAUUUUUAUAUACAAAUAAACCAACCAUAUAUACUUUUCGAUUUUUUUUUUUUUUGAACACAACUUUUCGAAUUUUUAAAAUACUCAUUUUGUAGGAGGUGAUCCAGUUUAGUGGUCAUACGAGGACCACUUAGCUCAGCUCAGCCGUGCAUCCAACUGACAUUGAGUUUGUAUCAAUUUGUCAAAAAAAAAACUUAUUUUUCCUCAACAACAAGUGGAGACAUACUUGCAUAAUUAGCUAUUUCCCCUUUCAGUUUACAAAACUAUGAAUAUGAUAAUCAAAAAGUUGGCUGCAUAGUGUAUAUCAUUAUGCCCAAAGUUGCAUUUUUCUGAAAGUUAAUGAACAAUCCUAGCUUGACACAUCACUGCUUACGUACUAACUAUGGCAAGAAUAUGUACUGCAUGAGUACACUUCUUUCUUUUGAAAUCAGCAUUAACUUAAUUCGAAAUCGUAGUAGAAAUAACACUCCAUGAAUAUAUCAACUUUUGAAUUAUCAUUAGCGGGUUUCGAUAAACAUGACUUAGCAAAACAAGUUUGACAUAUUUAUAAUGCUACAUAAUAUCUGUAUAUUAUAAAAUAAUAGGUGACUAGUUUGUGAAUGCUUAUUUAAGCUAAAUUUUAUUGAAUGUGAUCUUCUAGUUAAUUAAAUUUGUGAUUUAUUCCUAGCAAAAGUAACAUCACUAACAUUAUCUUGUGUUAGUAAGUAAAAAUCACGAUACAAGGGAAUAAAAACUAUUGUUGAGAAAGAAGAACCUAAAGCAUAGGAAUGAAUAUGAAUAUGAUUUAUAUAUUGUAUACAAUUAACUAAUGUGUAGUGUAGGCCUUUCUUUAUAUAGGUAAAAGCUCUUUACAACGUUUAAUUUUAUAACAAAACUAGCAAUGGACAAUAAUCACGUCGAAUAAGCACUAGUCCCACUAGAGUGGGAGCCAGUAAGCAACCAUCACUACUUCAACUCGUACCAGUUUAUUAUAUUGAAAUCAAUAUAUGAAUAUAGUUUUAAUUCCUUAUUGAGAAAGCUUCGUACCACUUUAGUUAUCACAAAUGAAGCACGUUACUUUUGCGAUUCUAUAAACUUUGAUUAGAAUCGAAAGUACUAAUCGGAAUAUAGAACACUAUAUAAAAGAUAGAGAAAAACACAUUUACGGUUUAAUUGAUUGCAUAAAUAUACACAACUAAGUACAUCUCAGUAUCUCGCUGAUAAACAAUUUUUUUUAAAAAGUAAAUAAAUAUACCAACUUUAAUUAGCGUUAUAUUUUAUCUAAGAACAUCUCCAACUUUAUUUAGAGUAAAAAAUGCUUCAAUGGUAUUCUAUUUUUCACUCUAUUAUAGAGUGAAAAAUAGGUUUAAUUCAAAUAUAGAGUAAUUUAUUUUUUUCUUGUUCAUCAUUCUAUUUUUUACUCUAAAAUAGAAUAUCAUUAGAGUAAACCAUUGGAAAUUGUCUUAGAAAGUGAUUAAAAGGAACUAGACGGAUGAUUAGACGCUGUCUAAAUUGAUUUCGAGAAGAUUCGUUUUAAAAUAAUUGUCUCGCUUAUGAAUGAUUUACCAUCUAUAUCGAUUUCUUUAGAACAUUGAUCUGAACUAUGUAAGAGUCAAAAACACUAUUUUCUCCUUUUUAUGCUUUGAUCUAAUGUGAUAUCACCCUUAAGUAAAUGAAAAAUAUUUAGACGAUAGAAACACAAAAAAAAAAAACAGUAAGGAUAAGUUCGAACUUCGGUUUUAUUUCAAGUCCUAUAUAGAAAACUCCCUCUCAAAGUCAAAACUAUAAAUUAAAAAAAGGAACACUUCUUCUCUCCCUCCUCCUACCUCAUGGUCCCUCUUAACCAUAUCACAUCAUAUACCGAUAACUUACCGGCGACCACCACCGGCAGGCUUUUUAGCCGGAGCAAUGUCCUCAUCAUCUGAUUCGACGUCACCGUACUGCCAUAUUCCAGUCCUAGACUUGCGAGCUUCCUCUUGGAACUUCUCCAAAGCAUCAAGAGCAGCUUUUUUGUCCUUGUGCUCAAACCUCCUACGUUUCUCCAUCCUCGCUAUUCCUCCCUGUGUACAUCAUCCAUCAUCAUAAACACCGAUUCUUAAAACAUGUUUUGUAAAGACAAGGUGAGAGAGAGAGAGAGAGACAAGAAACCAACCUGAAGCAUUGCACCAUUAACCGAGACCUCAUCGUCGACAGCAAUGAGAGUGACAACAAGUUCAGUUCCAGUGCCUUGUCCUUUGACUUUGCCUCCAGAUGCGUCUCUUUCUUCUAUCACUGCUUUGAACUCUUUGCCACUUCCCAAAGUUAUUGUAUGCAAAUACUCUCCAGCUUCAGGACCAAAGUCUUCUUCCAAGCUUGGAACCUUAAUGUAAGCAAGCCUGCAGAGCUGAGCAAGCCCUGGCGCUGAGGACACCGAAGGGUCCACUGGUCGGAUUGCGCUGUAAGGGACUACCUCUUGGUUUCCAUAAUCGAUGUAGAACACUUCAAACUUCUCAUCUGGAGACUCAACAGCUGCACGAGGUGCACUCACAAUCUGAAUAAAAAUAGGUAACGGUUAAACAAGUGAUUUAUUAAAGAUUUCAAUUUAUAUAUAUUUUUAAAAUAAAUGUUUAUGUAAUUUUUUUCAAAAAAAUUAAGGACCGAGGCCAAUGUUUCAUUGGGCUUUGCUCAGGACCAGCCUGGAAGAAAACAAAAUCACAGAAACUAAGAAAGUGGAUUUGUAUCUUACCAUUGCACGGUUCCAGGAGUUGUCAAGGCUAAACUGUGCAAGGACAAUGUCACCUCUCUUAGGGUUGAAGGAACCAAUGAUUGGAGCAUCUUUAAGACUCAAAGAUGCAAGCUGGUUCUGAAUAGAAGCUACUCUCUGAUCUCCAACCGUUUGAACAUAGAACCGACCACCUCCAAGUACUUCAGUAACAGCAACCUUCAAAGUCUCCUUUUGUCUGGUCUCAACGGUUGUACUUCCGUUUGAGACUUCUUGUCCUUCAACAUAGUUCUCCCAAACCUACAAAAGAUCAAAAAGCGGUUUAGCAAGAUGAUUUUAUUUUUGACUAAAAAGACAUGUGUUGCUUGUCUCACCUUCAGUUUCUGAUUCUUAGCAGAUCUCUCUGCUUGUUCAAGUAUAUGUGCUUCAACAAUCCUGUCUGCACCAAAGCUUGUCUGCAUUUUUGCUAAGCCAGCUUCAAGCAGAACCGUCGCCACAUUUGUCCUGGACUCCCACAUUGAUCCCAAGAAUGUACCGGUUCUAUCCACCGUCUCAACUUCAAUCUAUGUAGUUCAUAACAUAACAUUAUCAACACACCAUAUAGAACCAGAGAAAAUUGAAUUUAAUAUAUUAAAAAAAUAUUAGAGGGAGGAAAGACUUUGAGCGUGAAUAAAAUAUAUACUUUAAAAAAACAUAUAGAACAAGAGGAAACUGUAUAAAAUAUAUAGGAGGGAGGAAAAGACUUUGAGCUUGAAUAAAAUAUACUUAAAAAAAAAACAAUAUAGGCCAAGAGGAAACUGAGAUGUAAGUUUGGUCUACGUACCUCAACAUCUCUCUGCAUGAUCCUACGUCUCAUUACAGAGAUAGCUUCAUCUGAAAAGGGCUCUCCACGGCCAGGGCAUCUAACACCAGAGAACGCAAAGGCAAUGCUACACGUUAGCUUCGGAAUAUAAAGCUUACACCUAUGUCCGCUUAGUACAUAUUCCACAACAGCUGGUAUCCUCCUGAUUCUUUGAAGUGAUGGCAAGAAAUCUUUAGCUUUCUUAGCUGCGGCCACGGUUAGGUCUGUGAUGUGCAUGACAGGAGACUCUUUAGCAGAAUGGAUUCCUUUCUUUCCAGAGAGAGCACGAGAUUCAGCAGCAAGAAGAGCAUCAUAAUGGUUUGAUCUCUCUUCAAAAUCUCUGUGUCUAACCACAUUUCCAAAACCACGAGAUAGAAGAAGCUCAGCGAUGUUCACUCCAGCUGGCUGGCUGCCAGAGAUGGCUGAUGCAGCCACUUCCUGGGUAUCGCCUUUGGCGGGAGAUGGAAUGAACACUGAGCCAAAAUCCAUUAUCCUAUCACCAGCACCUGUUGGGGCAGCACCUUCUGCUGGUGUGACUUUCCUUGAGUAUUCCAUUUGAACAAUAACCUUUACCAAAGAGAAAAAAAAACAUCAAAUAUUGUUCAUGUGUGGACACAAAUGCAAUGACAAGAGUAGUAAGUAAUACUCUCUUGGUUUUAUUUUAAUUGUAGUUUUAGAUUUGUGCACAAAGAUUAAGAAAAUAUUUAAUUUUGUAUAUUAUCUAAAAAUGGAAAAUAUAGUCAUAUAGUCAUAUAGCAUAUAAAGUUCAUAAAUUUUGCAAAUUCUAAAACUGACACUUAUUUUGUAACGAAAAUUUUACUUUACAGUGAAAAAAAAAAUUGAAAGGGAGGGAGUACCUGUUUGCCAAUAAGCCUCUGUCUCAAGAACUCUCUUGCUUCACGAGCAUAAGGAGCUGGCUUCUCUUCUCUACGUGGAUUACCCAUUUUAGGACAUCUGAUACUCGAAAGAUUAACCCUUCUCUCUGCUGCUGGGCUCCCAUAUGGGAUAGCAUCAUCAGCAACUACAAUACAGUCCCCACUCACCACCUCCACUACCUAAAAAGAGAUAAUAAAACCAAUGACUCAAAAACCAAAGCAAAGGAGAAAGACAGUACUCAGCCAAGAGAGAUGUUUACCUUUCCGGUAAAGUUCUGGUCAUGAAGUGCCUUAGAGUUUGUAGCUGGUGGAACAUAGUUAGCCCACAUUUUCACCUUAUCUUUUUUGCAUUUUAGCUCAGCAGCUUUCAGCUUUCUCUUGGCUUCCUCCUCCAUCAUGUUUGCACUCCAUUCAACAUAUUUAGCAAGACCCUUAAAAUUAAAUAACAAUCAAUGUCAUUAACUUUGUUUAAGAGUAGUUUUUACAACUAAUAUAAGCACAUACAUUUUCAACGAGCUCUAGCCCCAAGUCUUUAACUGCUUCCCCAUCAGAGUAAUGAACUGAACCAAUCAGAUUGUUGAACUUGUCAACGCCUUCAAGAACAAUCCGAACCUGUAGAAUGCAGUUUCGAGAUUAAGAUAGUCCAAAAUGCCAAAAAUAAAGAUAAAAACAUGAUAAAAAAAAACUUACAUCUCUGCUAAGAACACGGUGCUCAGUGAAGUACUUGGCUUCAGCUGCAAAAGGAUCAGCAGAAACCUCCACAGACGAUGCAGCUGCAGAGGCAGCAAGUCUCUGAGCUGACGUUAGAGGAGCUUUUGAUGACUCACCAGAAGCAUCUCCGCUGGACUCAUCUGGAACCGUCUCAACAACGUUUCCAUUUGUGUUUCUUCUUCCCAUUGAUGGAGACUACAAUUGUCCGAAAGAAAACGUCUAUAACUUUGUUGCAUUUUAAAAUGUCAAACAGGGAAACAAAGUUUAUAAUUCACCUGGAUUCCAGCAACGAACACUUGCACAAACUGGAACUCUGGAAGAAGAUAAACACGGAUGCUGCUUCCAUCGCGCACCUGCUCAACAAUGCCUUCCAUAGGCUUGCCUUUGUUGGCAGCCAACAGCCCCAUGGCGUCAAAGCCUGCAGAGUCUCCAAUGGCAGAAGGAGGGAGGUCUCUGAUAGAUGCCUCAGCAGCACCAGGAACCUGAUUCACCAUCAAAUCUAAUAAUAAACUACAUGAUUUUGGGGAAUAUAAAGUUAAGGAGGAGGAAGACCAACCUUGCUCCAGCAACCAACUCCUUCUUGACUAGCCUGCUCUUGGAGCUGAAGCAGCUCUGUAAUGUGAGUGGGACUAACCUUACCCUGAUUCUGCUGACCUGGCUCCCUAACCUGCCCAUAGUACAAGCAUUAAUAACAAACAUAACUCAGUCAAUAUUGCAAUAUAAUGGUUAUUAUAAUCAAUAUUGAAAUAUAAUGGUUGUUAUAAUAAUCACCUUUGCCCAACCAUUUUGAACAACAAGCUUUGCAACAUUCUGGGUUCCAAGGAAAACAGAGCCAAAUUCUCUUCCAGCAAGGGCUUCAACUUUGUAUUCCACUCUGAAAGAAAUUUCCUGUUCAAAUAACAAAAAAAAAAGAAGAAGCAUUUACUUUAGAUCAAAUAAUAUUAUUCAACCACAAUAAUCACUGUUGUAAUUAGUUAGCAAAGGAUUUAGACUUUGGUACCUUUCCUAUGCAAAGUUUCCUCAGAAACUCCUUGCUUUCCCAUGCAAAAGGCUCAUCCUUACCUCCCCUGCGAGCCUAAACAGAGCAAAAACCAAUUAAUUCAAGUAAAACAAAAAGGUUGUGAAGAAAGCUUUUUUGUCAAAUACCCAUUUCUGAUAAUUUUAAUCUUAAUUUAAACCUAUUUAAAAAUAAAAAAAUAAUGAUUUUGGAAUGUAGAGUAAAGCUCACCAUCUUAGGUGCCAUGAGGCAAGAGAGAGUGAUAGCCUUUUCCGGUGGAGCUCCAGGUCUGUUGUGGACCAAAGUAGUGAUCACCAAACAGUCUCCGGAGGUAACAGCCUUCACUCUUCCUUUGAGCCAUUGGUUCUCAGUCGCUGACGCCAUCUUCACUGGCUUAAGACCUGCACCAACCACAAUAAAUACCCUUUUAACAAAAAAAAACAUUCAUAAUAAUAAUAAUAAUUCGAUGCUGCUGCUUUCAAAAAUGUGCAUUGGUAUCAGAUCGUCCAAAUCACGAGAGACAGAGAUACAUGCAUCGAUUAAAAAAAAAGGUUAUAAAAUUUAUCCCACGAUGAAUCACAAAAAUGCACUUUAAUGUCGAUCUACACUAUAGAGCUCGUUCGAUCGAGUUAAUUAAACCGAACAUAACAAAAAAAAAACAGACGAUAUACAUUAACGCACGAUCAUAACAAGUCAAGACAAAUCAGAUCGGGACUAAUCGAAAACGAUCAAUUGAGUCAACAGACGAUUAGAUCUACAAUGACUUCUUCGAUGGUUUCCAUGAACGUACCUUGAUCAACCAAAUGAGACAGGAAAAAAAAAAACAAAUUAGAUCCGGAGAUCCUUCUCUGUCUCAAUCUGUGACAGAACACAAAAUGAGAAGAAGCUCUGAGUUUCGGACACAAAAAGUUAUAACGGCGGAUCUCGAGAUAAGAGGUGAGAGAGACACAGGGGAAUUGUGCAGGAGGAGGUUAAAAAGAUAUAUAAACAGAGUUACAAAGCAGAGGGGGGGAGGUAAUAAGCAAUUGUCUGUUUUACCCUCGCUGUUUGGGAUAUAUUACGGGGAUAUGCCAUUGUAGAAAAGCUGAAAAGAGUUGGGUUUAAGGAUCGUACCGAGGAAAGUGAAAAUCACAUUGUCUGGAUUCACUUUCGAGUUUAACUACUACAGAUCUGCCCUAAAAGCCUAUUUUACCCGAUUUUGCAUAUCUAGUCCUUUUUAUUAUUUUCAUUUGGUAUUUAGACAUUAUAUACUCUUUUAUUCAAUAUACCACCAGAUUUAGAUUGAUAAAACAGCUUAUCGACGCAAUAAAAGAGAGAGCUAUUAUGUUUUUAUUUUAAAUGACGUUAAUAGCUUUUAUGUUUUAAAAUAAAUAAAAUUAUAAUGUUUGGUUUGAUUAUUAUCAACGGUGAUUGAGUGAAACACUUAAAACUGAUGAUUCUUUUGUGCUUAAUGUUUAUUGUGAUUUCCGAAUAUUUCCAUUAAUGAUUUGGAGUUUAUCCUUCUUUCGUCAACUGUCACCUUCUGAAGGUUACGUAUAGGGGCAAUUAAUGUGUAAGAUAGAGUCAUAGAGGAACUAAAUUGCAUGUGACUAUAAAGUUGGAGAAACAUUUGCAAUAACUCUGGAAUAAAUAUAAAGUCAACGCAUCGUCGAGAAUUGAAGUAUCCUUUAGUUUUCGGAACAUCGUAGAAAAUAAGAAAUUAACAGCAGGAGACUGUUAUGAAUCAUGAGGAAACUGCAAGGUAAACCAAAUUCAUCAGGGAAAGGCACUUGUUUUUACUAAAAACAAAAAAAAUACUGUUGUUUUAAGGCUUGUUUAUUUAUGUUUGGACUAUGGUUAUACACUUAUACACACCCCGAAUUUUCCCAUUUUUUGGACGCUACUGUGAGAUUGAACCUAUAACGCGAAGGCCAUUAAGGUCAUGACUCAUGAGUCAAACUAGGCCUGGGCGUUCGGGUAUCCGUUCGGGUUCAGAUCGGGUUUUUCAGAUUUCGGUUCCAUUUUGUAACAUCUCCUAGAUCUCAUUCUAGUAAAUUUAUAAGUACGGAUCGGAUUCGGAUAUAACACUUCGGAUAUGUCCGAAGUAACCAUAUAUCAUUCGGAUAUGGUUUUUUUUUUUAACACUGAUUGUAUUUGUAAUCUGAAAUUCAGAAAGAACAACUUACCUCCCUAAAAACACACACCUUAUAGACAGAGGAUUGGGAGGAAUAAGAAAACAGAAAAAUAAAAGACACCAGUAGGUGCCAAAACAAAGCAUGAACAAAUGAAACAUGCUAGAGGCUCGACAGCCAGCAGGGAAGCUGUGAUAGCCUGUCAUGGAGAUUCCAUUGGCAGCCUCUGCUCGGAUAGUAGAUUACUAGCCAGCAGGGACCCUAGUCGCCAGAUAAUUGGUAGCGAUGGACCAGUGUAACGCUGAUAGCAAUGCUAGUAGCAACACCAUUCUCAGCAAGAGAUACAUGCUUUAAACUCCAAUCAUCAAAGGGGCUUAGCUCCUUAUUGCUUUCACUCUAUAUUGGAAGUGAAGGUAAUGCAAAGGCUACAAGAUAGCAUCUUCAUCAUGAAAGAAGAAGACCUCAUGUCGCAUGUUUGCCAAGAUUAUGGGACAAACUGUUAAAGCAUAAGAACAGACUUUUAAAACAAUUUGGCUCUUCUUUUAUCCACAUUAGCGGCUUGAAAAGAAACCAGUUUUUGGAGAUCCGUCUCUGUUCUGAAACAUUAUGGUAGAAGCAAAUCGACACAGACCGUUGCUCCAUAAGGAUCCGAAAAUAAUGACAAAAACCAUGGCUCCACCAGAAGCCUGCAGUUCUAAAAAAUAACAUCAUACAAAACGAGAAGUGGACCUUAACCCUUUACCCUCACAAGGGCCUAAGCUAGGGUCACCAACCUCCACAUGCCACCACUGAGAACAUACCAAGAGCAAGCUGAAAUCCACCCUCAGAAAGACUGUACUACUUUCACAGCAACUGAAAGUUGAAGAUAAGUUGAACCUAGACAAUGGCCGAGACAGGAAACCACCAUCCAGUCCAGCGAAAUCCAAGUGCCCCAUCAUCUGAAAGAGAUUAAGCCAGCGAAACAACCUCCUUGUAAUCCACACACACCCUCGUUGAAAUCAUCACCAAAACCAAAAUCUCUACAGUUGGAGAAGACUCAAGCACCACCACAGCUAACCUUACGGCGAAAGAAGAAGUGAAUCCGGCGACCGCACAGGCGGCGGCCGCCAGAGAGACGAGAUCCGCCCUAAGUGAUUGGUUCUUGUAACUCUAAACCAUAUAUCAUUCGGAUUCGGGUUAUAUCGGAUUGGUUCGGGUAUAUCCAAAGUAAAAUCUAAAAUUUAAAAGUAAAACAUAAGAAAUAUAUCUUUCUUUGUAUAUAAUGGAGUAUUUAAGGUGUUUAUUUAAAUUUUCAAUACUUAUUGUUAGAUAUUAUAUCCAAAUAAAUAUGAAAUUGAAUAUUUGAAGUACAUGUUUAUGUUUUAAAUAUUUAUAUUAUAUAUUAAUUUGGAUAUUCGGAUCGGUUUCUUCAGAUAUUUUUUCGGGUUUUCGGAUUUUUCGGGUUUUCGGGUUACUCGUUUGAGUUCGGUUAAUAACACUUCGGAUUCGGAUAUGUUUUGUAACACCCUAUAAGAUCCAUUGAGGUAUUUUUUACAUUUCGAAUCGGGUACGGAUCGGGUGUUUUGGUUCGGAUUCGGUUCGGAUUUCGGGUUUCGAAUUUUAUGCCCAGCCCUAAGUGUCCGAAUGGAGGAGCGGGACAAGUGCAGAUCUCCUGCACAUGCAGUUCUCCCACACUGCAUUCACCAUUCACCAUUUUUUGUUUGCAAAAGCAGUUCAAGCGGGAGAUCUGCAUGCAGUUCAAUAUUUUCUGUCUUUUUGUGGAAAAAGCAGGAGAUCUGCAUGCAUAUCUCACCCACCAACAUUUGGUGGUGUUGAUCUGCCUUUUUUUUUCGGUCAAUAAAUAACUUUGUUACAACACAUAAUUUUAAAAAUAUAUUUAUCUAGUUUUAUGAAUACAAUAUUUUUAUUUUAUUUCAUUUACAACUUUAACAAUAUAAAAUUAUCAUUCUCUACUUAUUAUUUUUUGUCAUUUAAUUUUUAAUUUUUAUAAAUAAAAAAUAAAAGAAGUAUAAGUAUCUUAAAAACAUUUACAGGCAUUUCGUCCUAUCCUAUAACAUUUAUUGUUUUAAUAUCUGAAAGAAGUAUAAGUAUCUUAAAAAUAUUUAUUGUUUUAAUAUCUGAUCUAUAGUUUUGAACUGAUUUUAUCAUUCAUAAGUUAUACUAAAUUAUUCGAUCUGGUUCUCUCCUGCAUGAUCCGCUUGAUCUGCACUUGUCCCGCUUGAUCUGCACUUGUCCUACUUGAUCUGCUUGAUCUGUCGUGCUUGAACUGCUUUUACCAUUCGAAACCUAGUGUCCGAAUGGAGGAGCGGGACAAGUGCAGAUCUCCUGCACAUGCAGUUAUCCCGCUCUGCAUUCAUCAUUCACCAUUUUCUGUUUACAAAAGCAGUUCAAGCAGGAGAUCUGCAUGCAGUUCAAUAUUUUUUUGUCUUUUUGUGGAAAAAGCAGGAGAUCUCCAUGCAGAUCUCACCCGCCAACAUUUGGUGGUGUUGAUCUGCUUUUUUUUUUGUUUGAUCAAUAAAUAACUUUAUUACAACACAUAACUUUAAAAAUAUAUUUAUCUAGUUUUAUGAAUACAAUAUUUUUAUUUUAUUUUAUUUACAAUUUUAACAAUACAAAAUUAUCAUUUUCUACUUAUUAUUUUUUGUCAUAUAAUUUUUAAUUUUUAUAAAUAAGAAAAUAAAAGAAGUAUAAGUAUCUUAUAAAACAUUUACAUACAUUUCAGCCGAUUCUAUAACAUCUAAGAUAUUUGUUUAGAUAUCUAAGUGUCAUUUUUUUUUGUUUUAAUAUAUGAUCUAUAGUGUUAAACUGGUUUUGUCAUUCAUAAGUUAUAAUAAAUUAUUUGAUAUGGUUCUCUCCUGCAUGAUCUGCUUGAUCUGCACUUGUCCUACUUGAUCUGCAUGAUCUGCUUGAUCUGUCCUGCUUAAACUGCUUUUACCAUUCGAAGCAUUUUAAGUCAAACGCAGUGCAGUAAAUCCCCACCCACAAAACUCGCAGCAGACACGAUUAAUUAAAUGCGUAGCAAAUUCUAUACACACGCAUUUUCUCAUUUCUUCUUUCUAGAAAAGUUACAAAAUUUCAAACACAUACACGACAGCGACAAAGACAAAUACUAAUAAAUAACACGUGUAUGUUAUUUUAAUAUAACCACUAGCUAUUCCAAAUUUCCAAUCACCGUCAGUCACGUUUCGAUAUGGAAACAAAAACCCUUCACGCAGAUAAUUCGUGACACGAAGAACCCAUUACAGAUUAUUUUUAUCAUUACAUAGAAGAACUGGUUAUAUCCACUACGGAGCAUGAUCGCCAAUCAAUAUUUCACUCACAUAUCCUUCAAAACCCUACCGUUUGCAUGUUAGUUGGACUACUCAACUCUUUUUUUUUCUUUUUUGAGAAAACUUUAGUUUCAACUUCUGUCUUUAGAGAUGUUUGCGCGUCUGAUAUAAAUAAGCAACGUUGAGCGAAUAGUUUUAGAAUGGUGAAAACGAAAGAGAUGAGCUACUGAAUAUUAUAUGCAAACCUUAUUUUGUAAUUUCUUCGUGAUCAAGUCGAUCUCCCGCGGAUUGCCCACGUUACAUAUCAUAAAAAUAUGAUCAGCAUAUUCAAAUUUUCAUUUAUUUUUUUAUCCUCAGAUAUUAUUAUAUUACCUUAUGUUAAUUGCAUCUAUUCAAUCAUCGAAAUGUAAGUCAUUUUUAACUAAUUAAUCGGUCGUUUUAGUUAAGUACUCAACCCACAUAGCAUUUUCUAUUCUCCAAUCACUUACAAGAAAUUAGUUGUAAAAGAAUAUGGAAUAUUUUUGUUUUGAACAUUGACUUGACCUUUUAAAAAAAUAUGAGCGUUACUCAGACAACUAUCACAUCAUUACAUUUACAUCUUUAUAAUAUGAAUUAUGAGUUUUCAUGAAUUAUAGCAUUCGAAACCCGUACACUACAAUAAUGACAUAUCUCAUUAUGAAAAUUCUCUUAUAGUUGUUUUUUUUAACUUAAUUCUCUUAUAGUUGUUUCUAGCAAAUUUACAUUCAAACAUAAUAUGUAGUUUAGGUAAAUUAUUUUUGUGUUUCAAAAAGUGUUUCAAAACAAAAACUUUAGGUAAAUUUUAAAAUAGCAAGAAUAUAAUAAUAGAAUUUUCUUUGGAGGGGUAAACCAACGUAUUUGACUUUACAACCUGUAACAUCUCCUUUAUUGGAAAAGUAAAAAACCUGAACCACAGUUACAAAAAAAAAAAAAAACCUGAACCACAAACGAUAAUAGUAAAAAUUAGAUCUGUCCGGCCAGACAUCAACGAGCAAGACAAAGUAUAUAAACCCCUUCGAUGCUUCUUUAUUUCUUCAAUAGUAAAUAAUCUUGUAGUAAAUACAUUAUUUUUGGUUCUGUUUCAUUUUUCAUUAUUUUCUUUUAUUUUGUAAGAAAAAUAAAAGAAAAUAAUUAACAUAUUAAAUUAAUAAAAGAUGGAUUACAUUUCUCUGACCAUAGUUGCAUUCCUAGUCGCUUUUGCCUCUCCAGUGGUUCUAGCCACUGAUACAGCGCCGAUUCCAGAAGACAGGUCCCAAAUCCCGCAAUGGUUCCAGACAAACGUUGCACCUUAUUCCCAGAGAAAGGGAACCCUAGACCCCUCCCUGGAAGCUGCUGAAACAGCACGACAAGUUAUCACCGUAAGUUACAAUAUUGUAGUCUGAUAUUCUGGUUCGGUUUUAAUAAAUUUAAUGAACACGAUUGAUUUUUUUGAAAUUUACAAUCUAUUAUAACCUGAUUAAAAUUUAAAAAUACAUUGCAAGUCAAAAAGAUGUAUAUUUGUAAAACUUUAUUUUCAAAACAUAAAUCUUUCUAAAACGAAAGGACUAUUUCAUUGCAGGUGAAUCAAAAAGGAGGCGCUAACUUUAAGACAAUAAACGAAGCGAUCAAGAGCAUUCCGACUGGAAACAAGAACCGUGUGGUCAUCAAGUUGGCUCCAGGUGUAUACAAUGAAAAGGUCACGAUCGACGUGGCGCGACCAUUCAUUACAUUGCUUGGUCAACCUGGUUCAGAAACGAUCUUGACUUACCACGGAACGGCCGCUCAGUACGGAACCGUUGAGAGUGCAACUCUUAUAGUCUGGUCUGACUAUUUCUUGGCAGCUAACCUCAUCAUCAAGGUAUGUGAAAUAUAUAUAUAUAUAUAUAUAUAUACGUUCUACGUAUGUUAUCGCAUUACUUGCUAUAUAUAUACUGAUCUAAUGUAUGUGUAUAUUUGAUUAUGUUAUUCUGUAGAAUACUGCUCCUAUGCCGAAACCAGGUGCACAAGGACAAGCUCUAGCUAUGAGGAUCAACGGUGACAAGGCAGCUUUUUACAGCUGUAAAUUCUACGGUUUUCAAGAUACUCUUUGCGACGACAAAGGCAACCAUUUCUUUAAGGACUGUUACAUCGAAGGAACCUAUGAUUUUAUCUUCGGAAGAGGAGCUUCCUUGUACUUGGUAAGCUAUGAGAUAUCUCUAAACACAAAAUCACUAAAUUCUUAUAUAUAACAUGUUUAUAUAAAUAUUUGUUUAUAAAUCAAUAGAACACGCAAUUACACGCUGUUGGAGAUGGAUUAAGAGUGAUCACGGCACAAGCUCGACAAAGUGAUACCGAGCAAAACGGAUACACGUUCGUGCACUGCAAAAUCACUGGGACCGGAACCGGAAUUUAUUUGGGCCGGUCUUGGAUGAGCCAUCCAAAAGUUAUCUAUGCUUUUACAGAGAUGAGUAGCGUGGUCAAUCCAGCUGGCUGGAGGGAAAACUUCAACCGCGGCUAUGACAAGUAACAUUUCAUAUCAUCUCAAUCACAUAUAUAACUCGCUCAGUUACAUUUUCAUAUAUUUGAUCAUAAACUGAAUCGGAUAUUGUGAUUUGUAUAAAUUCAGGACGGUGUUCUAUGGAGAAUACAAGUGUUUCGGACCAGGUUCACACCAAGAGAAGAGAGUGCCUUACACACAAGAUGUUGAUCAAAACGAAGUUAGGCCUUUCCUCACUCUUGGUUACAUCAAGGGUUCCACUUGGCUACUUCCUCCACCUAAAUACUGAAAAUUUUCUUAAGAUAAAAUAUUGAUUAAUGUAACAGUUUUUAAUCCUUAAACCAGUGAAAUGUUCCCAUCUUUUAUUUUUUGUAUUACUUGAGAUAUGGAACUAAUUCAAUCGUUUUGAUAUAUUAAUAUGUUCCCCGGAAGUUUGUGGUGUUACUCGUUAUUUAUCUACAAAUUCUAUAAACAUGUGAUAUAUACGUAACUGACUAAUGUUUUAACACGACACUUUUUUGUAAAACAUGAUUGUAAUUAUAAUAAUUAAUCAAAACUAACCAAGUAAAUUAUGGUCACAUUUCCUUAACUUAAAUAUCUCUUAGUUCUAAACAAUCAAAAUUAUGGUCACACAGACGCACACCAUUGAGUUCAUGAUAUGUUUGACGUACAAACAAAAAGAAAGAGUCUGUCAAUGUGUCCACGUGAUAUGUUUCUAUCAGGACAUAUUUUUUGUAGCUGCAAGUGUUAAUAUACUCCCCCAUAGAUUACGUGUACUUGGUAGAUUUCCUCGUUUUUAAUUUUUGUAGUUCUAGUUGCAAAUGUUAUGAUUUGAUUUUCCUGUAUCUAAUAUAGGGUACUAUUUUAGGGUAUCAAAUAAUUUACUUAUACGAUUUACCACAAAGAGAUUCAUUCAUGCAUUAAAAUUGACACGAGGUCAAAAGUAAAAUAAGGAAUUUAAAAAUUGGGAUAGGGGCGACAGAGCCAGGUAAGCAAAGAGUCGCCAUCCAAUUAUAUGAGCAUGCGCAGCGGCGAACCGCUCAUUGAAGUUCAGGAAAUUAAUUUUUUUUUUUGUUUGAUUUUUUUUUUUUUAAAAAUUAAAUAAAGUGAUCAAUAACAGGCCGCCACGUGGUGUGGGGUCCGCUGAACAGUCACGACCCGGGUUCACGCGGAAGAGACGGGACGAGCCGAAGUCUUCAUUUAUGCUUAUUUUAAUAUUUUUUUUUUUGGAAAACGUGUGACCCCCUCCCCUUGAACUCCGAUGCGUAUGCUCUAAAGAAUGAAGGAUAGCAACUUCUGCAACGUGUGUGUACUUGGGAGUUGGGUCUGACUAUAAUUCCGAAUCUUGUUCCUACGGUUUCAGACCAUCCGAUUCUUAACGGUUCAGAUUGUUUAGCAGCAUCACAGUACGUCACGCAAGAAUCGCGUCCUUAGACCAUCUACAAUGCUACACUAAAAUUUACUCUAUAUUCCACUCUAAAAUAGAGUAACUCUAUUAUAGAGUUGGAUUUGCUCCAAUGGUUCACUCUAUAAUAGAGUUACUCUAUAAUAGAGUGAAAUAUAGAGUAAUCUUAUUUUUUCACUCUAUAUUUGGAGUAAAAAAACAAGAUUACUCUAUAUUCCACUCUAUUAUAGAGUAACUCUAUUAUAGAGUGAACCAUUGGAGCAAAUUCAACUCUAUAAUGAGUUACUCUAUUGUAGAGUGAAAUAUAGAGUAAAUUUUAGUGUUGCAUUGGAGAUGCCCUUACUCCUUGUUUCCCGCAUCUUCCACAUGAUAAAAAUUGACGGUCAAUUUUUAUUUUGUUUCAUGCUUUGUUGAAAUAAAUAUAUACAUUUUGUUAAUUAUGAAAUGUAUAUUUUCACGUUGAUCAUAUUCUAAAGUAUAUUCGGAUUAACCAUCUUUAAUUUCACCAAAUGCCAUUAAAAAUCACCAACGAUGUCCCUAGAAUGCCCUUUAUAUAAUAUUUCUUUCAUAAUAGUAUGAUAUUAUCAAGUUUAAAGGUUUUCUUCACCAGAAAAUAUACAUUUUAAUAGAAAUGAUUACUAAAUAAAAAUAAAGAAAAUUAUGAUUUUAUGACGUUAAUGAGUCGCGUAUAUAUAUAUAUUAUUUAGAUGAUGAAGAAUGAAUAGUUAGGGGAAUCCAUUGUACUAGAUGCAUACUUUUUUGUUCUAACGUGGACCUUAUGUAAGAUGUCUAUCCACAACUUUCUAAAUCAAUUCUACAAUUAAAUAUCAUUAAUUUCUUAUAAGCCAUAGAAAACUUUUGUAAGAAAAAGGAAGCAAAAGUCAUAUUGAUCUGCUUUUGGGAAGAUCAAUUAGUCAUAAAAAUGGUUGUAACAUUGAUGAAAGGAUAAUAACACCGUUCCGAGUUGUUGACCAAACAAGAAAAAUAAGAGAACCACCUUCCCUAGUUCAGUAUGUUUAACCAAAAGUGAAAAGACAGAAAAAUACUAAUCAACUAAAUACUCAUCCCCCAGUUCCAACCUUUCUGGGGGUCCAACACGUCUUUUACAAAAAAAAAAAAAAGAGUACUAUUAAGAAGCAAACCUCUUAUUUUUCCUCAUUUACGUAAAUAUAUAUCUCUAAAAAACCUCUAAUUACAAAAUCUGUAAUUUCACUUGUCUAGCAACAUAAACAUGAAAAAUAUUAUUUAUUUCUGAUUUUCCAAAUAAUGUUAUAAGCAUUUUAGUAUAUUUAACUAAUAAAUUUUAGAUGUUUCAUUAAAGUUUUUAAUGUAUUUUUGAGCCAUUUUCUUUUUUCAAUGUUUUUUUGUGUCACGCAAAGCAAUUUUUUUGGAGGAAAAUGUAGGGUUUGUAUUACUGACCUUUUUGAGAUUUGAUUUGACUUAAAAAAGCCAAAAAAAGUUAGGAAGAAAUUGAAAGAUAAAUAAAUGCAAACAAAAAAGAAAGCGAAAUUAGAUAGUAAAGGACAAAAGCGUCAUUUUCAGGCAUAAGAGAGUUUCUCUUUCGUCUCCAUUCAAAAUUAACGCUUUCUCUAUCAUCCAUCCCCUCCUACAAAUACACUCUUCCUCUCUUCUCUUCUUCCUCCUCCCAUCAUCUCUCAAUCUCAAUUCGAAGAAAAACUCCCAUUGAGCCAUCAUGAAUGCUCUAGCCGCAACCAACAGAAACUUCCGUCACGCAUCGCGAAUCCUCGGCCUGGAUUCGAAGAUCGAGAAGAGUCUCAUGAUCCCAUUCCGAGAAAUCAAGGUCGAAUGCACGAUCCCCAAAGACGACGGGACCCUCGUCUCCUACAUCGGAUUCAGGGUCCAGCACGACAAUUCUCGCGGACCCAUGAAGGGUGGAAUCAGAUAUCACCCCGAGGUUCAUCUCUUUGCUAUAAAGUCUCUCCCUUUUGAUCUUGGGUUCUUGUAAUUGGGAUCUUGAAUCGAAUCUAGGGAUUGGGUUUGUCCAAAGUUUUGAUUUUUAUGAUUUUUUUUUAAUUUUUUUGAAGGUGGAUCCGGAUGAAGUGAACGCUUUAGCUCAGCUGAUGACGUGGAAGACAGCUGUCGCGGACAUUCCGUACGGUGGAGCUAAAGGUGGGAUCGGAUGCAGCCCUCGCGACUUGAGUUUGAGCGAGCUCGAGCGUCUUACACGUGUCUUCACGCAGAAGAUCCAUGAUCUCAUUGGUAUUCACACCGAUGUCCCUGCUCCUGACAUGGGGACCAACGCUCAGACCAUGGCUUGGAUUCUUGAUGAGUACUCCAAGUUUCAUGGGCAUUCCCCUGCUGUUGUCACCGGCAAGCCCAUUGUAAGAGAGGCCUUUGAUUAUGAUUGUGGAUCACAACCAAAGUUUUGAGCUUUUUCAUUAGUGGAUGAGUGUUUGUUCACUUUGGUUAUAGGAUCUUGGUGGUUCGCUUGGUAGAGAAGCUGCUACAGGACGUGGUGUGGUCUAUGCCACUGAAGCUCUUCUUGCUGAGUAUGGCAAAUCGAUUCAGGGAUUGACAUUUGUUGUUCAGGUAAAAGAUUUUAAUGUUGUAGGUUUCAUAUUAGAUAAUGUUUUAUUUCAAUGCAUAUAUAUUAAAAAAAAAACUAUUUAUUAUCAAAAAUAUCAUUAAAAUAUAAUGUAAAACUUUUUUUUGGUUCAAAGAUGUAAAACUAAUUUAUUCAAUUAUAAAUAUAUAUCAUAAAAAAUACAUUUGAAUAUACAAUUUUUGAUAAUUUUAAAGUUACCUAUAUUUGUGCAAACAUCUUCUAUAAUGAAACAACCAAACCUCUCUUUUAAAACAUAUUGUCUGAGAAUGAGAAGAAGUUGAGAGAUUUGGUUGAUGUGUGAUGACAGGGUUUUGGGAAUGUUGGAACAUGGGCAGCUAAGCUGAUCCAUGAGAAAGGUGGGAAAGUGGUUGCUGUGAGUGACAUUACAGGUGCAGUCAGAAACCCUGAAGGUAUCGACAUCAACGCUCUUCUGAAACACAAAGAGGCAACUGGAAGUCUCAAUGAGUUCACUGGCGGAGACGCUAUGGACUCUGACGAACUGUUGCUCCAUGAGUGUGAUGUUCUCAUUCCUUGUGCUCUUGGUGGUGUCCUGAACAAGUAAGCUUUUCUCUCAUCAAAUCAGAACCAACCAUAGAGAUUCAAAUUUCUGAUUCUUUUCUCGAUCUUUUUGGUUAGGGAGAAUGCUGCAGAUGUGAAGGCUAAGUUCAUUGUAGAGGCAGCUAACCAUCCAACUGAUCCAGAUGCUGAUGAGGUAAUGAUAACAACACUAAAUAAACCCAUCUCUUGUAAUGUAAUCCUAAUCUGUUAUGAUUAUUUGGCAGAUUCUGUCGAAGAAAGGAGUGAUUAUACUACCAGAUAUAUACGCAAACGCAGGAGGAGUGACUGUGAGUUACUUUGAGUGGGUUCAGAACAUUCAAGGGUUCAUGUGGGAAGAGGAGAAAGUGAAUCUAGAGCUACAAAAGUACAUGACUCGAGCCUUUCACAACAUCAAGACAAUGUGCCAUACUCAUUCCUGCAACCUCCGUAUGGGUGCUUUCACCCUUGGAGUUAGCCGUGUCGCUCGAGCCACCCAGUUGCGUGGUUGGGAAGCGUAGUGAAAAUUUUCCCCCAUAUACUCUGUUUUUUUCCUCUGUUUUCCCCUGUUUUUUCCUCUGUUUUCCCCUGUUUUUUUGUGUUUAAUUGUUACUCAAAAUCAUUCAAAUGAAUUGAAUAACUAACCGAAUAAAAUAAAAUAAUAUUUUUGUCUUUUGUAUUCAACAUAAAGUUUUCAAAAUGGACUGAGAAUUACACACAUACAAACAGAGAACACUUCUCUGUUUUGGGAUGAAAGAGUUACAAAGUCUUUAUACUUAGGCCCUGUUCGUUUCGUGGUAGCCAGCGUCAGCGACCAGAGUCAGCGACCAGCGACUGCGACAUAGUGUCGCUGAUAGUUGUUCGUUUGCAGAUCGCGAGGUUGAUCGCAGCGGUUGUCGCUGAGUUGUUCGUUUCAGUAUCGCUGGCGACCAAAUAUUUAUUUGAUAUCAUUUUUUUUAUCGCAGGUUUUUGGUCGCAAACGCUGAAUUUUCGGCGAUCAAAAUUUUUAAUCGCGGGUCGCUAGCGUCUGGUCGCUGCGAUCAGUCGCUGACUCCGCGACCGGUAAACGAACAACGUUUAGUCGCUGAAAUUGGUCGCUGACGCUAGCGACCUCCAAACGAACAGGGCCUUAGCCGUAGCAGCGGAUAGGGUCCUUGCAGCUCUUUGCAGGAGAUUGCGCAUUGCCAUACAUGCCACCUUUAGCUAGAUAGUGCUGAUGGUAUUCUUCAGCUUUGUAGAACUUCUUUGCUGGUAAGAUCUCAGUCACAAUCUUCUUCUCAAGUUUUGUCUGCUGAUUCUCAAGAGAUUGAUGUGCAAGUUUCUCUUGCUCUGGUGUAUAGAAGUAUAUCCCUGAUCGGUAUUGAGCUCCCACAAGCUCUCCCUGCAACAUUUAAACAUCAAAGGAAUGGUUAUCAAAAAGUAGUUUUUUGAAAAAAAAAUUAAAAAAUCAAAAAGGUAGUUUAACGAAACAAGAAAUCAAAAACCAACAGUGAAAAUCGAUCUCACCACCUUACGUCGCCUAUAGAUUUUUUUUUAUUUGAAUGAAUGUAAAAUUUAUGUGAAAACUUUUUUUUUGUCUGAAUAAAUUUUACAUUCGUUAAAAAAAAAUGAUACCUGGCGAUUUAAGGUGGUGGGAUCAUGCCUAGACCAGAACAAAUCAAGCAGGGUCUCAUAGCUGCACUCAUUGGGAUCAUACUGAACCCUUACAACCUCUGCAUGGUUCGUUUUGUUCGUGCGGACAACCUCGUAUGAAGGAUUGUGAGAGAUCCCAUGAGUGUACCCAACCUCAGUCUUAGUCACGCCAGGGAUCCUCUGGAAAGCAAGCUCCAGUCCCCAGAAACAUCCAGCGGCGAACUCAGCAAACUGGCUUCCCGGUGCCGGUACAUCGUUGUCAGGCUCCUGUGCUAUCGGAGAAGGAACAAUAACAGGUUGAUCUACUAACUGAGGCUCUUCUUGAGCUAUAGGAGAAGGAUCCGUUGUAGGUGUAUUUAAUAACUUGGACUCUUCUUGAGCUAUAGAAGGAUCCAUUUUGCUAGAUUGAUAUGAGAUAGAGAUCAGUCUGUUGUUUAUAUAGCUACCUACCUAAAGGCUGAAUAGCUUAAUUAUUGGCACACAAGAAAAAUACAUAAUAAUUUGGUGAAUUAUGGCUUUUUAUAAGAUGUCUACGGUAUAUUUUCUUUUAAAAGAUUCCACCCACCAUUCUAUAAAAGUCACGUUUAUUUCUGUAUUAAAGCUACAAAAUCAAAUUGACAAUAAGAAACUUAUGAGACUGUAGCCUUAAGUGUCUUAAAGUGAAACUAUUUAAGUGGCCUAAAGUGAAACUAAGCCAAACUCUAUCAGACUUUAUCUUUUCUCAUCCACAAGAUCCGCUCAAUAAUUCAAGAACAUCAACAAAUAAUGGAAUAACUAACAGAAUAAAUAAAAGAUAUUAUUGAUUCUUUUAAAUUGUCACUUAUUCAUUUUGAAUUUUUCAAAAAAGUAACAAUAUUAUUAAAUCUUUUAUUAUGAACUGAGAAUUACAAAUCAACUACACACACAUAGAGAGAACACUCCUCUGUUUUUGUCGGAGAGAGGAACAAAGAAGGAAUAACCGCAAGUCGGCAGGUGUAUCUACUAACUGAAGUUCUUCUUGACCUAUCAAAGGAUCCAUUUUGCUAGAUCAAUAUGUGAAAAGGAUCAGAUUAGUGAUGUUCUUAAAGUGUGUAUUGUUGUUGAUGGUGAAGCAAAUGGCAAUAAGAGAAACCUUAUCCAUCCUUUUUUUUAUUCCAUAAGAUUCGCUCAAGUCUUUAAAUUCAAUAAUUCAAUAACAUCAAUAGACAUUUAUAGUCUCUAACAUGAUACACGAAAGUAACUUGUUACACUUAUUAGGGAUUUGGUCGUGUAACAAACACGUCUCUAAACUCCUCUGUCUUGGGAGAGGAAACUCAGCAUUUUCAAGCCGUAGCAGCGCUGCACAUGAGUGGACUAUUACAGGCUAUGCCACAGGACUGCCCACCCUUUGACAGGUACUGCUGAUGAUACUCCUCAGCUCUGUAGAAUUUCUUAGCUGGUAGAAUCUCAGUCGUGAUCUUACUCUCCAUUUGUUUCUGGUGACGUUCCAUUGACUCCACCGCUAGUUUCUCCUGCUCAGGUGUGUAGAAGUAUAUCCCUGAUCUGUAUUGGGUUCCCACAUCUUUUCCCUGAUCACAGUUUUAAGUCAUUAGCCACGGUAAAAAAUAGUCAAGGGAUAGUUUCACUACACAGAUAUGUUAUUAUAAUAAGUAUUGUUCUCUAUCUAAAGUCUUAAAACUUUAAAAAUUUAGCAAUCUCCAGCAUAAAAAGUUUAAAUCUUUGGACCAAGUUAAGAGAAACCCAUAACGUACCUGGCGAUUCAAGGUGGUGGGGUCAUGUCUAGACCAGAAGACAUCAAGCAGAGACUCAAAGUUAUUGAAUUGUAAACUUAUGAUCCAAGACAAUGAUCCCAACAAGUACUCACUUUAUUAAGAUCUCAAACUCAAACUCACAAGUUAUGCCACAAUCAUAGCAUCUCCUUAUAUAUCUCUUUUAGUUCCUAAACUCAUUAGAAAACAUAUCUUAUAGAUAACUAUCAAUCUAUAUAAUCCUAAUCUCAUUAGGAUAACUUCUACUCUAAGUUAUCUUCAAGCUUAAGUCAACAUUCUCCCCCUUAAGCUUGAACUCACCAUUUGACACAUCUUGAACUCCAAUGAGACUUCUCAUGUCUUUAAACUUGAUUCUCCCAAGUGCUUUGGUUAGUAUAUCAGCCUUCUGCUCUGUCCCGGCCACAUGCUCAACGAUCACUAAGCCCUUUUCAACGCACUCUCUUAUGAAAUGGAACCUUGUGUGUAUGUGCUUACUACGUCCAUGAAACACCGGAUUCUUGGCAAGUGCGAUUGCCGAUUUGUUAUCAAUACGAAUCACUGUUUUUCCGACUCCAUCUUCAGUAAUCUCUUCAAGUAACUCCUGCAGCCACAAAGCUUGUUUUGCUGUCUCUGUCGCAGCCAUAUACUCAGCCUCACACGAGGACAAGGCAACAAUUUCUUGCUUUUGAGAGCACCAAGUCACAGGACAAGAGUUUAAGUAGAAGAUAUGACCUGUUGUGCUCUUGCCAUCGUCAGGAUCCACAUUGUAGCUACUGUCACUGUAUCCUAUUAGUUCCUUCAUACCGUUGUUCUCAUAGUAAAGCCCAAGAGAGCACGUUCCCUUCAAGUACCGAAGGACUUGUUUCAGUGCAGCUCCAUGAGAGCUUCUUGGAUCAUGCAUAUAGCGGCUUAACACUCCAACACACUGAGCAAGAUCUGGUCUGGUAUGAAUCAAGUAUCGAAGACAGCCAAUGUUACGCCUAAACUCUCUCUCGUUUAUCGUUGCCUCCUCUGCACCUUUGCAAAGCUUUACCCCUGGCUCCAUUGGAAUGUGUACAGCGUUACACUCAGACAUUCCCGCUUCUUCAAGUAUUUUCAUAGCAUAUCUCUCUUGUUUCAGCGUCACUCCAUCUUUAGUCUGGAUAACCUCAAUCCCAAGGUAAUAGUUAAGUUUCCCGAGAUCACUCAUCUCGAACUUACUUCCCAUCUCCUCCUUAAAACCUCUUAUGUCAUCACCCUUAGUUCCUGUGACGAGUAAAUCAUCAACAUAAACUGCAACAAGAAGUAGUGAGUGUUUUGUCUUUCUCUGAUACAAUGAGGACUCCUUGGAACAACGUGUGAACCCAAGCUCUUUUAGAAUCUGAUUUAGCUUGAUAUUCCACGCCCUUGGGGCCUGUUUCAAGCCGUAGAGGGCUUUAUGCAGUUUGUAUACCUUGUGUUCACUUCCUUUGAUCUUGAAUCCUUCUGGUUGUGAAACGAAAACUUCUUCUUUUAACUCACCGUGAAGAAACGCGGUUUUCACAUCAAGGUGAUGUAUCUCCCAACCACUGGACGCAGCUAAGGCUAUAAUUACUCGUACCGUCUCUAACCUUGCGACUGGAGCGAAGACUUCAUCGAAGUCAACACCGUGGCGUUGCACAUAACCUUUAGCUACUAGCCUUGCUUUAAACUUGUUAACGCUACCAUCCGCAUUACGCUUAACUUUGAAGACCCACUUUAACCCAAUUGCUUUGCUUCCUUCUGGUAGAUCAACAAGAGUCCAAGUUUUAUUCUUCUUAAUAGAAGUAACUUCUUCCUCGCACGCAUUCCUCCAUACCUUCUGAUCUUUUGCCUCGUUCCAGUCCCACGGUUCCUCAUCAAUAAGCAACAGAACGCGUUCAAUCUCUUCUAUCUCAGACAUCAGCACAUAAUCAUCCAAGUAACUUGGUCUUGACGUUUGCCUUGUCGAUCUUCUCAAGAUCACUUGAUCCUCUGUUUCCUCUGUUUCUUCAGUUUCCUCAUCAUUGCUAGACGCGUGCUCACUCUCGUCUUCCUCAGCAACUGUAUCAGAGGUAGAUUCACUACUUGCCAUUGGAAGUGUUAUCAGAGUAGGCUUGUCAGUUUCCUUCUCAUUCCACUUCCAUUUUUUGCUUUCAGCAAAGAUCACAUCUCUGCUCACAACAACUCUUCGAUUUGUAGGAUCGUAUAAGCGGUAUGCUUUUGACCCUGGUUCGAUUCCUAAGUGUACCAGCUCUCUGGAUCUGUCGUCUAACUUCUUGAGAUGUGGUGCCUCGUUCUUAGCGUAGCAGACGCAGCCAAAUACCCUCAGAUGUCCAACGUUUGGCUUCUUCUUUUUGUAGCACUCAUAUGGUGUUUGUAGUCUCAGAGUUCUUGUCGCAACUCUAUUGAUAAGAUAUGUUGAGUGCCUCACAGCUUCGCCCCAUAAGUAACUUGGCACACUCAUAUGUUUCAUCAUGCUGCGGGUCAUCUCCAUUAGAGUACGGUUUCGUCUCUCAACGACUCCGUUUUGCUGAGGUGAAUACGGUGCCGUCAAGUGACGUUUUAUUCCAUGCUGGUCACAGAAGGUUUGGAACUCUUGAGAAGUGAACUCACCACCCCUAUCAGUUCUGAAUGUUCCAAUGAUACUUCCUGUUUCUUGCUCCACAAGUCUUUUGAAGAUUCUGAACUUCUCGAAAGCUUCCCUUUUCUCCUCCAACAAUAUAGACCACAUAUAACGUGUAUGAUCAUCAAUCAAUACGAACACAUACCUCUUCUUGCCUGCCGUUGUUGGAGAUAUUGGUCCACAAAGGUCUCCAUGAAUGAGCUCCAGGACGUGUGAGGCACGGUAUGCAGUGGCCUUGGGAAAGCUUUUCCGUGUCUGCUUUCCUAGCAGACAAGAAGCGCAAGUCUCAUUCUCAAUGCUCAGAUUAGGUAUACCUGUAACUACCUCUUUAUUCAUCAUACUCCGCAUGGUGUCUCGGUUUACAUGCCCAAGUCUCGCAUGCCAAACAGCUGAAUCAUCGUCUCUCUCGACCUGAAGACACCUAGUAUUGUCAACCUCCAUCGUCACUUUAUACAGCCGAUUCUUGGACCUGAUGGCUUUUACCAGUAGGUUCCCGUCACGAUCAAGCAACGUGAGAUAGUCUUUUCUCAUUCGUACAUCACAGCCAGACUCUGUAGCUUGUCCAAGACUGAUAAUAUUGCUCUUCAAGUCUGGUAUAAAAUACACAUCGGCCAAGAUCUUCUUCUUUCCAUCCUUGCUUAUGAAAAUAAUUGAACCUUUUCCUUUGAUGUCUAUGCGCGAGUCAUCCCCAAAUCUUACUUUCCCUGUGAUUCUCUCAUCAAUCUUCGCAAAAUAGUCUCUGUUUCCUGACAUGUGGUUGCUUGCGCCAUUGUCUAAGUACCACACAUUGUCUUUAUCAGUGUGUGUCUCGAACUUGCUUGGUGUCACAUUCUCCUCAUUUAAGUACACAACUUCAUUCAUCAUCAGUUCCUCAGCUUCAUGUGUGCUCUCAGCAUCAUUCUCUUGUGUUUCUUGGAGUUUCAGCAACCGGUCUGGGCACAGAUAGGCAUAGUGUCCAGUUUUAUCACACCUGAAACAGACCACUCGGGACGUGUCUCUGCCUUGCUUCCAGUCUUGCUGAUUGUUGUAACGUCCACGCCCUCUUCCCCUGUUACCAAAACGUCCACCACGUCCUCUUCCUCUUCCAUAGGUUUCUGUUUGUGAUUGGGAAUCUGCAUUGGCGUACAUGAGUUUUCCUUGAUCAUCGGGCUGAUCAUCAUCUACGAUCCUCUCCUCAUAGGCUUUUAGUCUUCCCACAAUAUCCUCAAAGCUGGUGGUGUUGAGGUUUAGGACCUGUUCAAGAGCAGCUAUGAUAUGUAUAUAUUUCUUCCUUGGAAGACUGUGAAGAAAUUUCUUGACAAGUUUAGAUUCCUCUAUGUCUUCUCCUAAGGCUGAGGAUUUUGAAGACAUCUCUGCGAGUUUACCGGAGAAAUCAUCAAUAGUUUCUGUUUCUUUCAUCUUCAAUCGACUAAACUCAUCCAUGAGUGUUUGUAAUCUAGCCUCACGAACUCUGUCAGCUCCCACAUGUCUUGCCUUUAUUGCUUCCCACACAAGUUUUGAUGUCUCAAGAUCGCCUACUUGCAGAACUAGGGCUUCCGGUAUGGACUGAAACAACAAAGCACGAGCCAUAUCGUUCUUAUCUCCAUCAUCUAUCCCUGGUUCUAUUGUUUCCCACACUUUAUGUACCUUGAGCGCCACCUUCAUCCUCAUACUCCACACGGUGUAGUUGGUGGCAGUGAGCAUAGGACAUUGGAUUGUCGUAGUAUGCGCCUUUGGUUUGAUAGUUGUCGCAACUAUAUCUUUGUCACCCAUGUUGUCUCACAAACCUUCUCUUCUUGGAUUUUGUUUAAGAAUUCAAUAGAAUGCUCUGAUACCAAUUAUUGAAUUGUAAACUUAUGAUCCAAGACAAUGAUCCCAACAAGUACUCACUUUAUUAAGAUCUCAAACUCAAACUCACAAGUUAUGCCACAAUCAUAGCAUCUCCUUAUAUAUCUCUUUUAGUUCCUAAACUCAUUAGAAAACAUAUCUUAUAGAUAACUAUCAAUCUAUAUAAUCCUAAUCUCAUUAGGAUAACUUCUACUCUAAGUUAUCUUCAAGCUUAAGUCAACAAAAGUUGCACUCUUUGGGAUCAUACUGAACCCUGACAACCUCUGCAUGGUUCGUUGUGUUCGUGCAGACAUCCUCGUAUGAAGGAUUGUGGAGGAACCCUUGGGUGUAUCCAACCUCCGUAUGAGUCACACCGGAGACUCUCUGAAACGCCAGCUCCACGCCCCAGAAGCAUCCAGCGGCGAACUGUGCAAAUUCAUUACCCGGCGCCGGGGCGUCAUUGUCGUUUCCCUGAGUGAUAGCAGAAAGAUUCAUCGCUAAGUUUUCUAGAGAGGAAAAAAAAGUUUUUAGAGAGAAUAUUUAAGUUUAUUAUGUAAUUGCAUCCAGAUACCCUCCUCCAUACAUGAACUAUAUAUACCACCUGUAAUCCUGUAUAGUUAACCUUAGAGUGUAUAUACUAUUUAUUCCUGUCCAUAUACACGAUCUAUAAAUAUCACAUGCAUAGUUAUCACUAAAGACAAUAUUAGAGUGUAUAUGCUAUGUAAUUCCGUCCGGAUACACUCCAGACAUGAUCUAACUAUAAAUAUCACGUGUUAGAUAACGUUAUUUGACCCAAAAAAAAAAAGAUAACGUUAAGAGUGUUUAUAUUAUGUACUUCCGUCCAGAUACACUCCAUAACUAUGAAUAUCACGUGUUAGUUAACAAUCACAGGUGACGAGGCAGGUGUAUCUAAUAACUUAGACUCUUCUUGAGCUAUAGAAGGAUCCAUUUUGGUAGAUUCAUAUGAGAAAAAAUCAGUCACUUGUUUAUAUAGGAAGAGUCAGUCAGAGAUUAACACCACCUAUGACCUACAUAAAGGCUGAAUAGCUUUUUUAUUGGCACACAAGAAAAAUACAUAAUAUUUUGGUGAAUUAUGUUUUUGAUAAGAUGUCUACAGAAUAUUUAUAAAAACAAAAAAAAAUCUACCCACCAUUCUAUAAAAGUCACAUUUAUUCUAUAUUAAAGAUAUAAAAUCAAAAUUGAGAAUAAGAAACUUUAUGAGACUUUAGCCAUAAGUGUCUUAGAAAAUAUUAGCGGAAAUUAGAUUUAUACAGUUUGUUGAUUUCAAAAGUAUGGAGAUUUGUUGAAUUUGGAAAUAAUUUGAAAAAAUUGUGUACAUUUUAAAAUCUAUGAAAACAAAUAAUCUUAAUAAUUUUAAGAAUCUAUAAACCAAUAACGCUACAUUUUUGAAAUUCUAACAAUUAUUACAAUGUAACUCCCAUUAAAGUGAAACUAUAUAAGUGGCCUAAAGUGAAAUCAACUCAAACUCUAUCAGACUUUUUCUUUUCUCAUCCACAAGAUUCGCUCGAUCAUUCAAGAAAAUAAACAAAUAAUUGUAUAAAAACGUUACUCAUGCAAACGAAAGUUAUUGGUUACAUUCCUAUUAGAGAUAGCAAUUUUUGGCUGGUGUUCAUUUUGUGUAACAUACACUGUUACAGAAUUGCAAAUAAAAGUUACAUACGUGUUGUCUAACCAACCUCAUCAGUUUUACAUUCACAAGUCUACGAUAUCCUCUGUUUAGGGAGAUAAGCAGAGGAACUCAGCUCUUUAGCUAGCCGUAGCAGCAAACUGAACCGUUGCAGGCUUUGCCACAGGACAAACAUCGUUAUUAUUUCUUUCUCUGUUUUUAAAUAAAAUGAAUAACUAACAGAAUAAAAUAAAAGAUAUUAUUGAGUUUUUUGUGAUUUAUUCAUUUCGAAAUUUUCAAAAAAAAGUUGUAACACUUUCACAUCUUUGUUAUGAACUGUGAAUUAUAAUCAACAACACACACACAUACAGAGAACACUCCUCUGUUUUGGUAGGAAAAGGAACAAAGAAGGAAUUACCCGAGGUGUAUCUACUAACUUAGAGCAUCUUUAUUCCCAUCCCACAUUUUUGUUAAAACUCCUUUCUUCCUCCUCUUAUUAAGAGGCAAGUUUGUUGGAAUUUUUGUACUGUUCGCGAACUUACUGAUAUGUGGCCGUCGCGAUAGAUUAAUUUUUUUUUUUUUUUUUAAAAGUAAAAAAUAAAAAAAAUAAGAACUUAAACGGAGUUUUAGGGAUAAUGAUGCUCUUAGGCUCUUCUUGAGCUGUCAAAGGAUCCAUUUUGCUAGAUCACUAUGUGAAAGAAAGGAUCAGAUUGGUGAUGUUGUUAAAGUGUUGUAUUGUUGUUGAUGGUGAAGAAAAUGGCAAUAUGAGAAACCUUAUCCAUCAUAUUAUUUUUUUCAUCCAUAAGAUUCGCUCAAAUCUAAAGAAUCAAUAAUUCAAUAACAUCAAUACAUUUAUAUAGUCUCUAACAUUGAAACACGAAAGUAACUUGUUACACUUAUUAGGCAUUUGGUUGAUGCUCAUAUUGUGUAGCAAACAAGUCUCUAACGUCCUCUAUUUUGGGAGAUAAGCAGAGGAAACUCAGCAUUUUUAAGCCGUAGCAGCGCUGCACAUGAGUGGACUGUUGCAGGCUAUGCCACAGGACUGCCCACCCUUUGACAGGUACUGCUGAUGAUACUCCUCAGCUCUGUAGAAUUUCUUAGCUGGUAGAAUCUCAGUCAUGAUCUUACUCUCCAUUUGUUUCUGGUGACGUUCCAUUGACUCCACCGCUAGUUUCUCCUGCUCAGGUGUGUAGAAGUAUAUCCCUGAUCUGUAUUGGGUUCCCACAUCUUUUCCCUGAUCACACUUUUAAGUCAUUAGCCACGGUAAAAAAUAGUCAAGGGAUAAUUUCACUACAUAGAUAUGUUAUUAUAAUAAGUAUUGUUCUCUAUCUAAAGUCUUAAAACUUUAAAAAUUUAGCAACUUCAACGUAAAAAGUUUAAAUCUUUGGACCAAGUUAAGAGAAACCCAUAAUGUACCUGGCGAUUCAAGGUGGUGGGGUCAUGUCUAGACCAGAAGACAUCAAGCAGAGACUCAAAGUUGCACUCUUUGGGAUCAUACUGAACCCUGACAACCUCUGCAUGGUUCGUUGUGUUCGUGCAGACAUCCUCGUAUGAAGGAUUGUGGAGGAACCCUUGGGUGUAUCCAACCUCCGUAUGAUUCACACCGGAGACUCUCUGAAACGCCAGCUCCACGCCCCAGAAGCAUCCAGCGGCGAACUGUGCAAACUCAUUUCCCGGCGCCGGAACGUCAUUGUCGUUUCCCUGAGUGAUAGCAGAAAGAUUCAUCGCUAAGUUUUCUAGAGAGAUUAUUAGAGUUUAUGUAUAUUUUUUUGAGAAUGGAGUUUAUGUAUUUGCAUCUAGAUACACUCCAUACAUGACCUAUAUAUACCACCUGUAUAGCUAACCAUGGAGUGUAUAUACUAUGUGUUUCCGUCCAGAUACACGAUCUAUAAAUACCACAUGCCAUAGUUAUCAUUUAAGACGAUAUUAGAGUGUAUAUGCUAUGUAAUUCCAUCCAGAUACACUCCAUUCAUGAUCUAACUAUAGAUAUCACGUGCUAGAUACAGUUAAAAAGCAUUAGAGUGUAUAUCCUUUGUAUUUCCGGCCAGAUACACUGCAUACAUGAACUAUAAUUACCACCUGUAUUUUUUUUUUUGAACUAGAACAACAGCUGUCUUGUUUUUUUUAUCUAGAAUAACACCUGUAUUGUUUUUUUUUGACCGAAAGACUAAUAACACCUGUAUUGUUAACAUUUUUUUUUUGUUAAGUAUGUGAAUUUCAUUAACUUAAUAAUGAGGCAUAGAGAUACAAUGGACUUCGACUGAUCUAAUCCUAUUGAAUCUAAGUCGCUAAGUCAACAAGACAAAGCAAUGGAGCCAUAGUAAGCCACAAAAAAAGUAAAAAGACUCACUAAGACUAAGAAGGCUCAGUCACAACCAUGAGGCUGCGAGAAAGCUUAGCUAGUUUAAUAGAUCCUAAGACAACCAUUUAGCUAACAGGAGACCAGAGAGAAGAUCUUGAAGUCGGCACCUGCAUCAAGAUCACUCGGGUCAGUAGAGAAUCGCAACCGGAGAACAGUCCGAGGAGCCGCAGACUAUCCCGAAGGCGACAUCAAAAGAAGGACAGGCGAAGCAGGAUUGGCAAGCCCUGGUCCGGCCAUCGCAAGCAAAUGAAGUCCACUCCAGACGUUGCUAUCUCAAGAAACUGCUACACCAUACUCUGAGAAUCCUAGCCGAUGUAGAGAAACCGGUAUAUGAAGCUAAGGUGAGUACUUGCAGGUGGAAGCAGAGGUUUAAACGGCUGGACUCUGGUCCCACCACACAAGCAGAGCACGAGGGAUUCCGGCCACAGAACACCAAGAGAGGCAGAGGACAACAACCAGCUUCCUUCUGAAGCUUGAAGAACAGAGGAACAAGAGCUCCUUACAGCAGGCGAAACAGGAGGAGAGACCCAUCAUAGGAAGUCAGAUGAGCAGAGUAACGGCACGAAACUCCAAUCCAACCCAAUCCCAAACAGAUCGAAACCAAAAGAAACACCAGGUGGUUGUCGAGGAACCAUUACCGAAAAAGAAGUCCCCGACGGUGAGCCUCGAACCGUCUUUUCAACUUGGAACAAGAGGGGGAAGUUCUUACCAAAGCAUCGCAAGCGGAGACAGGGGAGAGACAGAGGAGGCAGUAUACUGACCAGAACGGCGAAGGCAGCGACGCAAGGCCACUCCGGCGAACCCUCCAGGAGAGAUCUGACCCAGAUCUACUCCGGGCGAAACCCUAGAUCUACCAGUUUGACGACGCCUCCAGCUCAGAUCCGGCUCACCACGACAUCGCCAUCUCUCCAGGGAAGCUGAGGACACCCACAGCCACCGGUUUGAAUCGCCUGGUCCGGCCGCAACCCAGCGAUAAACAGAGGAGAUGAAGCAAGGAGGAAGUGGAAGAGACCGAAGCAUGAGAGGGCAGAGGCUAGGAAACGGUGACGAAACGGGGUGGCGACCGACGGGUAGAGACCCUCCGUCGGCCACCGGAACGAGAGGCAAGAGGAGAUGUCGAAGCGGAGAGUUGGUGGGGAGAGAAGAUCGAGAGAAAAGACUCUCUCACCUCUCUCUAACUUCUGCCAAACUCUAAUUCACUAUUGUUAACAUUAAAAUGAACAUUGGAGUGUAUAUACUCUGUCUGUCCGUCCAGAUACACUACGAACUAUAACGAGAGAGGUGCAGCGAAACGGAACACGGGUCUUAGUAUUACUGUUCGUUGCGUUCGCGUUUUGGUAGCGAUCGCGAUUAGAAACGGCGAGUUUGAAUCGCUAUGGUAACUGAACUUGGAAAGUGACAAAGGUCCAGCGUAUGCUAAGUUGAACCAAGAAGUUUAGGUGGAAAUCUAACCAAUAUUGUUUAUAUCUCAACUGAUUAUUUAUUUGUCAUCCAAAUGGAAAAAAAAAAAUAGUAUGAAACAAAAUUUAAUAUGCAACUGAAUCGAUCAUGCACCAGUUUAAUGUAAUCAAAAUGAAAUUAAUUUUGUAAACCGAAAUUAAAUUGUUCAUAUGUAUAGAUAACUAGAGAAAACUUUAAAUAUAUUUUAUUAUCAUUUCUUACAAUAUAUUUAUCCAAAAUUACACACCACCAACAUUUUUGGUUUCUGCUUAGUCAUAACUCUUCAAGCCAAUUGAACCAAAACAACAAAAAUAUAUCAAACCAGGCCGAAUACUCACUUUAUUCACUCUCGUCGUACGCAUUUAAAUUAGAGAAUAUAUUUAUAUACUAUGUCUUAAAAAAAAGAAAAAAAAAAUAUAUAUAUAUAUAUAUAUAUAUUUACACCAGUAUUAUAUGCUCAAUUCUUUGUAGGAGCACAUUUUAUAUUUAUCAAUAGCAUUUAAAUGGUGCAGAUACGAGUCUUACUGCACUCAGAGCAUGAGCAGCAGCGAACCUUGCAAUUCCCGAUUUCCAAUGUUUUUUUUUAUUAUUUUAAUUUGUUUUUUUCGUUUGAUUUAAAAAAAAAAAUAUAAACGAAUCUAUCGCGGGCCGCCACGUGUCGUGGGGUCCGCAGAACAGUAACGAGACGAUAUCACUCCAGCGAACCUGCACGAGCCGGGUUCAUUAAAAUUUGAUUAUUUUAAUAUUUUUCUGCCUCAAAAAUCGUGUGAACUCUAGUCUUGAUUCUUCAAUGCGGAUGGUCUCAAUUCAUUAAGGCUCUAACCUUCGACCACCCUAUUGCCGAGCUCUACGGCAUCAUCGUAACUGACAUUGAAGCUGUUGCUUUAUCCUUUGAUUUUGUUUCUUUUACUUGGAUCUCUCACGAGUCACGAGAGAAACAUAGAUGCGGAUUUAUUGGCUAAACAUGUUUUGUCUGCUGAGUUUAAGGCGCUGAGUUAGCCUUAGAGCACCAUUAACCUAGCACCCCAAGUGGGGUGCUUAUUUUAUUUUUAUUUUUUAGUUUUUUGUCUGAUUUUUUUUUUAAAAAAAAAAAUUAAAAACGAGCCAAUCACGGACCGCCACGUGUUAGUGGGGCCCGCGAAACAGUACAAGAUCCAACAAAACCCGACGCUUAAUCUGGCGUCUUUGACGUCGCUGCUUCGUCUUUUGCCGUGGAGCCCACCCUUUAGCACUUCUCUAAGCGUCCCCGUUAAUCCUGCUCUUAAUGGCCUCACCAAACAAUGGUUAAAAACUUAAAAUAUUGAAUGAAUGAAAGUAAGUGUUUCAAAAGAAAAAUAGUGUAGAUAUACUUGGUUUUUUGUCAAAUAGAACAUAUGUGUUACUUAUUGUGAAUGAUUAAGAUUAAAAUCUACUAAGAUAGAAGAUAUUUUACUAAUUAAGAACGAUUGAAUAAUUAGAAAUCUUAUUCCUCAUCAAAAGAGCAGAGCUAUCGACAAAGUCAUUUGAAACCGCAUCCUAUCUCUGAACUACUCCACAACUCCAAGGCUGCACGGCUUACUCAGACGUUGGUAUCUUAUCCCCGGCAACUGAUAGCUAAGGCAUUAUCUUUCAUUGUUUGCUCUUUCCAUCUGUAAAUGACUAUAUUGUUUUAAAUUACUCAAUAAAUUUGAAAUUUCAAGAAAAUAGUUAGAAAGCUUAAAAAAAACAUACACAUUUUUAGGAAACAUACACUUUUGUGUUCGCAUUCAGUUUGAAGUUUUCAAAAAAGUUGUUAACAUUUCUACAUCUUAUUAUGCACUGAGAAAUACAAAUCAACAACACACACAAGCAAACAAACAAAAAAGGAUCAGUUGCAGCCUUGCAGGUGUAUCUACUAACUUAGGCUCUUCUUGAGCUAUCGGAGAAGGAACAGUUGCAAGUAAAUCUACUAACUCAGGUUCUUCUUUCAGCAUCAAAGAAUCCAUUUUGAUAGAUCAAUAUGUGAAAGAAAGGAUGGGACUAGUGAUUUUCUUAAAGUGUUGUAUUGUUGUUGAUGGUGAAGCAAAUGGCAAUAAGAAACCUUAUUCAGCAUAUUAUUUUUUCAUCCAUAAGAUUCGCUCAAAUCUAAACAAUCAAUAAUUCAACAACAUCAAUAGACAUCUUUAUAGUCUCUAACAUGAAACAAGAAAGUAACUUGUUACACUUAUUAGGGAUUUGGUUGAUGUUCAUAUUGUGCAACAAACAAGUCUCUAACAUCCUCUGUUUUGGGAGAGGAAACUCAGCAUUUUUAAGCCAUAGCAGCGCUGCACAUGAGUGGACUGUUACAGGCUAUGCCACUGCAGGACUGCCCACCCUUUGACAGGUACUGCUGAUGAUACUCCUCAGCUCUAUAGAAUUUCUUAGCUGGUAGAAUCUCAGUCAUGAUCUUACUCUCCAUUUGUUUCUGGUGACGUUCCAUUGACACCGCCGCUUGUUUCUCCUGCUCAGGUGUGUAGAAGUAUAUCCCUGAUCUGUAUUGGGUUCCAACAUCUUUUCCCUGAUAACAGUUCAAGUCAUUAGUCACGGUAAACUACAUGUAUAUCAUGUUACACUUCACAUCAUCAAAUGUUACACAUUCGAUUUGGUAUUGCAAAUGAAUUGAAUAACUAGCAGAUUAAAAAAAAAAAUAAGCAUUGAUUUUUUUGUGUUAUGUUUUCAGUUUUAAGUUUUUAAAAAAGUUGUAACAUUUCCACAUCUUUAUUAUGAAAAUCUUAGAAUUACAAAUCAACAACACAAAAAAAAAGUCUUAAAUCGUAUAAAGUACCUGGCGAUUCAAGGUGGUGGGGUCAUGUCUAGACCAGAAGACAUCAAGCAGAGACUCAAAGUUGCACUCUUUGGGAUCAUACUGAACCCUGACAACCUCUGCAUGGUUCGUUGUGUUCGUGCAGACAUCCUCGUAUGAAGGAUUGUGGAGGAACCCUUGGGUGUAUCCAACCUCCGUAUGAGUCACACCGGAGACUCUCUGAAACGCCAGCUCCACGCCCCAGAAGCAUCCAGCGGCGAACUGUGCAAACUCAUUUCCCGGCGCCGGAACGUCAUUAUCGUUUCCCUGAGUGAUAGCAGAAAGAUUCAUCGCUAAGUUUUCUAGAGAGAUUAUUAGAGUUUAUGUAUAUUUUUUUUAGAGAAUGGAGUUUAUGUAUUUGCAUCUAGAUACACUCCAUACAUGACCUAUAUAUACCACCUGUAUAGCUAACCAUGGAGUGUAUAUACUUUGUGUUUCCGUCCAGAUACACGAUCUAUAAAUACCACAUGCCAUAGUUAUCAUUAAUUAGAGUGUAUAUGCUAUGUAAUUCCAUCCAGAUACACUCCAUUCAUGAUCUAACUAUAUUUAUCACGUGCUAGAUAAAGUUGAAAAACGUUAGAGUGUAUAUCCUUUGUAUUUCCGGCCAGAUACACUGCAUACAAGAACUAUAAUUACCACCUGUAUUUUUUUUUUGGUAAAAAAACAACACCUGUAUUGUUUUUUUUUUCUAUCUAGAAUAACACAAGUAUUGCUACCAUUAAAAAGAACAUUGGCGUGUAUAUUCAAUGUCUGUCCGUCUAGAUACACUCCAUACAUGAACUAUAACGAGAGAGAUGCGUUUUGGUAGCGAUCGCGAUUAGCAACGGGGAGUUUGAAUCGCAAUGGUCACUGAACUUGGACAGUGAAAAGUUAAGGUCCAACAUGUGUAUGCUAUUCGCUAAACUGAACCAUAUAAAGUUGAACCAAGAAGUUUAGGUCGAAAUCUAACCAAUAUAUAUAUCUCAACUGAUUUUAUUAUUUUGAGAAGACAUAGGAAAAAUUCCAUUUCUCUUGUCACUAUGGAUUCCGUAGCUUCACCGUCAAUCAACCCCUUGUUUUUUUUGCCAUGGAAACACAAAAAUAGGCUUUUCUAAAACCUAAAUCUUUCAUAUUUACGAACAUUUUAUUAAAAAAUAAAAAACUUAUUUUAUUAUUGUCAUCCAAAUGAAAAAAAAAAAUAGUGUGUCACAAAAUUUAAUAUGCAACUGAAUCGAUCAUGCACCUAGUUUAAUGUAACCGGAAUGAAUUAAUUGUAAACCGAAACUAAUUGUUUUUUUUUUUUGAGAACUCGAAAUUAAAUUGUUCAUAUCUAUAGAUACUAAAUGAUAAAUUUGUUGACAAAAAAAUGAUAAAUUUAAAUAUACUUUAUAUUUGUUUCUUACAAUAUAUUUAUCGAAAAUCACAGACAGAAUCAAACCACCAAACAUUUUUGGUUUGUGCUUAGUCAUAACUCUUCAAACCAAUUGAACCAAAACAACAAAAAUAUAUCAAGCCAGAGAAUAUAUGUACACUAUGCCUUCAAAAAAAAGAAUACAUAUAUAUACACUCCUUCUAUGUAGACGCACAUUAUAUUUAUCACUAUAAAUAUUAUACGAAAACAAUAUUUUUGAAGUAUAUAAAUGGUGUAGAUAUAUUUUUUUUUUGUUAAAUAUAAUAUGUGCUACUUAUUAUGAAUGCUUAGGAAUAAAAAAAAUAGAAGAUAUUUUAUUAAGUAUGAUUAAAUAGUUAGAAAUCUUAUUCCUGAACAAAUGAGCAGAGCUAUCGACAAAUUCAUUUGAAACCGCAUCCUAUCUCUGAACUACUCCACAACUCCACGGCUGCACUGCUUACUCAGACGUUGAUAUCUUAUCUAUGGCAAAUGAUAGCUAAAGCAUUAUGUUUCAUUUUUUGCUCUUUCCAUCUGUAAAUGACCAUAUUGUUUUAAGUUGCUCAAUAAAUUUGAAAUUUCAUGAAAAAUAGUUAGAAAACUUAAAAAUAAAAACAUACACAUUUUUCGGAAACAUACACUUUUGUGUUCGCAUUCAGUUUGAAGUUUUAAAAAAUGUUGUUAAAAUUUCCACAUCUUAUUGUGAACUGAGAAUUACAAAUCAACAACACACACAUGCUAACAAACAAAGAAGGAUCAGUUGCAGGUAAAUAUACGUAGGUUCUUCUUGAGCUAUCAAAGAAUCCAUUUUGCUAGAUCACCAUGUGAAAGAAAGGAUCAGAUUGGUGAUGUUGCGUUGUAUUGUUUGUUGAUGAUGAAGCAAAUGGCAAUAAGAAACCUUAUUCAUCAUCAUAUUAUUUUUUCAUCCAUAAGAUUCACUCAAAUCUAAACAAUCAAUAAUUCAAUAGACAUUUAUAUAGUCUCUAACAUGAAACGAAAGUAACUUGUUACACUUAUUAAGGAUUUGGUUGAUGUUCAUAUAUAUUGUGUAACAAACUCGUCUCUAAACUCCUCUAUCUUGGGAGAGGAAACUCAGCAUUUUUAAGCCGUAGCAGCGCUGCACAUGAGUGGACUAUUACAGGCUAUGCCACAGGACUGUCCACCCUUUGACAGGUACUGCUGAUGAUACUCCUCAGCUCUGUAGAAUUUCUUAGCUGGUAGAAUCUCAGUCAUGAUCUUACUCUCCAUUUGUUGCUGGUGACGUUCCAUUGACUCUGCCGCUUGUUUCUCCUGCUCAGGUGUGUAGAAGUAUAUCCCUGAUCUGUAUUGGGUUCCCACAUCUUUUCCCUGAUAACAGUUCAAGUCAUUAGCCACGGUAAAAGUAGUCA
rnacentral:lncRNA from 1 species